CUGAUCGCAAUCAGGUAGCUCCGACCCACCCAGCCGAUCCAUCCCGAGAUGUACAGGAAUAGUAUUCCGGGUGUGAUGAACUCACCCCAGUGCCUCUGGUCUCCGCUCACGAUCAGGUGCGGCAACCCAUCGCCGCCGCACAGCAACCCCUGCUUCGCGUAGUUGUCGAACCUCCUCUUCGUCUUCUCCACGCUCGCCUUAAUGGCCAGUGCGGGGGCGCUGCCCGCCUCGUAGAGCUUCAGCGACGACUCCAGCUUCUUUAUCGACUGCUUCUCACGCUUCGCGAACUGCUUCGACUCCUUGCAUGGGGUGAGCCCCGAGAUGUCGGCGCCGGCGGGGAGAGGGGCGGAGAGGAGGAUGGAGGAGAGGGCCAGCGCGGCGGAGAACGCCUUCAGGUCGGAGGACACGUUGUUGUUGUUGUUGUUGUUGGUGGUGCUGCAGACGAUGGUGGUUGUGGCGGCGGACCUUAGCUUUGGGCUUAGUUUGGGGCGGAGGGCGGCGGGCUUGGAGAGGUUGGAGGGAAUGGUGAGAGACAUUGUUGGAUGCGAGGGGUGUGUGAGAUGGGAGUGUGGGGGUGAGAAGAGAAGGGAAGGUUUUUAGAUUCAGUGAGGAGGAGAUUGAAGAUUGGUGGUGGUUAACUAUAAGGGGAUUCUUGAUAAGGUGAGGGGAGUGAAGAAGCUGAGUUGGAUUAUCCUUAUUGGUUCUGCCUCUGUUGGAUUAUCCUUCUUUCUUUGCCUUGGAUAAGAGAUGCCCUACCCCAUCAUAUAACACACCUUUUAAAAAUACUUUAUUAUUAAUUUUAAUUUAUUACAAAUCACAAUUUUGUGCCAACAUUUUUUUUUUAUAUAAAUUUUAAUCAGCAGUAAAGAAUAUGUUAAACAUAUAUUUAGUUUGUUAUAACGGAACCUUAGGUCAUUAAUUACUGUGUGAUGUUACAGUUGGAAAUUAUGUUAAUAUUCCAUUUUAAAAUUUGUUGAAACUUGGACAUGAUAAAAAUGUACAAUUCUAUAACUCGUUCUUCUGAAAGAAAUUAUUCAUUUUUAGAAGUUCUUUAUCAAAAAGAAUAUCUGCGGCUAUCCUUUUAAGUAAGUUUAAUCACCAUUUUCCCCCUCACAUUUCAUCUUUGAUUUACCGUUAGUAUAAGUACGAAAUUUGUAUGGACUUUGUGAUUGCUCUUGUCUUCUGCAGCAGUCAGCAACUUUGGCGCACAGGUUUGGUAAGAAAUAAGUUUGGAAAGUAACUAUAUUAAUAUGCUCAAAGCUGAGAGACAUAUCUGUAUAUUGUGUUUGAAAAGAGAAUUUUAAUUAAAAAAAUAUUUUAUUAGAGAAUUUAAAAUUUAUUGUUCAGAUGUUUUUGUAUGAAGAAUUAAAAUUUUAAACAAUUAAAAAUGUGAAAUUUUAAAUUUUUUUUAAAAAUGUGAAAAAUUGAAAUUUUUUUCUUAAUAGAAGAAUCUUCCAAAUUUUCUUUGUAACCUUCAUCCCCUACCAUGUUCUAGUUCCCCUGCGACUCCCAUGUCUCAUCGAUAUUCUUUCUUUUGAAAGCACAUCAAUUAUAUUUUUUCUUCUCUUUGUAUUCAUUUUUUUCACACUGACCAUUUUAAUUUUUUUAUCCAAACAUAAAAUUUUAAAAAUCAAAGAAUUUUAAUUGAAGUAUUUAAAAUUCUUAGAAUUUAAAAUUUAUCAAAAUUUUAAAUUUUCUCAUCUAAACACACUCUAAAGCUAAAACUAAAUGGUAAUAUUGACUGUUGAGAGCUUAAAUUUGAAACUAGUUCCAAAAAAAUAAUCCUAAUUCGUAACAUUGAUUAUUAGAGAGCUUGCGAACUUCGUGGUUUAUCAUAUACAACCCAUGGAACUCGGUAUUCCUUAUAAAUGCACAAUGUAAUAUUUUAAGGACCAUGUUUAAAUAUUGGGGGUUUUUUCGAAAUAAAAUGUUUAAGUAUUGCUAGUGUUAUGGAUCAUAAUCCUAAUUCUGUGCAAAAUCUAUGGGAUUCGACCAGGCAGAAUAGAACCACCAGUGAGCUCUUCCAAUUCAAAACUCCAACAGACCUGCUUGUCACAGUGGAACUUCAAAUUCCAAAUUUGGCCGACAGAACUCCGAAAUUCGACAUUUUCUAAAUAGCUAAAUUAGGUUGUCGCCAAAAGGCAUAAAAUAUAUUGGUUAGCCUUUGAUCAGUAAACCAUACAACUCAAAGAAGAAUAAUUAAAACUAUUUGCGUAUCCUCCUGUAUAAGGUUGGCGGACUUUGUUCUACAAAACAAAAGCCACUAAAACAAUAAAAUAAAGAUUUUUGGUAAACCUUGUGAAUAAAAACAACAAAAGUUUUUCUUCAAGUACCAAAAACACUCUCUGAGCACAUUCUUGCUUGGGCAAAAAGACUCACAUCACAACAGCCAGUACUUGUAAUUGUUAACUUACCUACAAAGAUAGAUCAGCAAAAGGAAAACAAAGUUAGCCCUCAGAAAACCACAUUAGCCACGGCAUGUGGACACUCAUAUUUAAAGUGAGAAUUGACUAAUUGAGACAAAAAUGAUGCCACCAUUUCAGGGCAUUAAUUGAAAUUCAAAGUUUGUUUUCGUUCAUGGUAGAAUUAGGGCCAGUUAACUAUAUAAAUGUAACCAUCCCUAUCUUAGUCAACAACUAUAUAACGUGAGCACUGAGCACAUUACAAGUCAAUUUAGAAGCACAACUAUUUCAAUUGACUAUUGUUGUACCAAUACAUUUAACGAGGUUUGUGAGCCAUAACAAAACUUAAGUUUUCUUUAUCAGAUUGAAACCUAUUUUUCUUAACAGGAAGGAUGCAGGCAUCUUACAAAAAAUAAAAUAAAAAACUACAUAUGCGUGAAAAUCAUUAGAAGCACAGGAUAGAUUCAUCCCCUAUUCCCCCACCCCCGCUUCCCUUUUUGGGUUUGGAAACUAACAGUUUAAAUUGUAAUGGAUUUGUGCCUAAAAGACGUUUCAAAAUAAAAUGAAAGAAUUUAAAUAUAAUUUGAGCCAAUUUACAACUUGAAAACCUACAAAAGAUGAAUGGAAGAAGGACCAGACACAGCAGCAGCUCUCUGUGCCCGAUGUGCUUCACAUUUAUAAAGCUCUUUCAUUUCUUUUUUAUUGCGACGUGCCUCAUGUCGUUCCUCCUUCACAGCAGCCUACAAAACAACGCAACCAUUCAUGUUAAUACAGUAGUAGCAGCAGUAAUAGUAAAUGUAUAAAAGCCAAACAUAAACAUGGGUAUUAUUCUUGGGGAAACAAUGGCUGGUAAGUUUCAGAAAGAAGUUGAUAAGAAUUACAUGUAUGGAAUAGAUGAAGCAUCAUAGACUAAAUUAGAUAAUAAUACAGAUACCUUCCGUUCUUUCUUCUCCUCCUUUGACUCAAGGCCAUGUUGUUUUCUCUUGUACUGCUCAGUUUUUGCAAUGCUCUGGCCUUUAACCUUUUCGGUGGCAGGUUUCCUACCACCAGGCAAGAAGUCUACGGGGAGUUUCUCUUUUCCUCUAAGGGGUAUUAUUUGACUAGAGGAACUCAAGACUGCAGACACGGUUUCAGACAAUUUCUUUUUCCUGGUUACUCCAGGUGCUUCAAUCUUUCCAGGGUGGUUAUCUAAAUUUGAGUACAUCGAAACAAUAGUCUCACAAUCCCAAACUUCUGAUUCAUCACUACUUUCUUGUACAAGUACAACAUCCUUGUGAUCAUCUUCAACUUCAUACUCCUCAGCAUAUUCCUUGCAGCGACGAAUCACAUCAGCAGCAGAAUCCUCUUGUUCCUCAUGUGGAGCAUCUUUAUUCUUCAAUAAGUCUGCAGGAACCUUAUACUUGUCAUCAUCAAGUUCUAGAUCAUCCAAUACAUGGUUGUUAAGAGAGUGUUUGAGCUUCUCAGCAAGGGACUCAUCUUCAUCGGCUUCAUAAUUUUCAUAAUAAUCACCAUCAUCAUCAUCAGUUCCAUAUUCUUGGCGUUCGAGCUAUAACAGAAAUAGACAGAGAGAGAAUGGGAAUCUUAAAGGUAAAAAGUUCAGAGGCAGUCAAUAAUUAUACUUGCAAUUACAAUUAAGGACAUAAUUUGGCAAAAGCAUCUUCCUCAAAUACCAGAAACAGAGGGGCUCAACAUACUUCAUUAAAUAAUAUAAUUCGUAAAGAGAAAGCAUAAGUGUGUGUUUGGUUUUAUGUUGGGAAAUUGAUUCUGGAUCCAGAAAAUUGAUUUUGGAUGCAUUUUCACAUAUUUGGUUUCACAUUGGAGAAGAAUCCAGAAUUGAUUUUGGCUUGAAGCAACUUUGAGUAGCUUCUGCGUUAAAUCCAAAAUUUUGUACUAAAUUUUACUCCUAACUUCAUUUUAUAACAAAAACAUCCAAACAUAAAUAACAUCAAUUUAACCAAAAUCAAUUUUGGCAACGCUCAUCCAAACACACAUUAAAAAGAACCAAAAUAUAGAUAGUGAAUAAAGUAUUAUGAAUAGCUAAACUCACCAAAUCAAAUUGCUCGUCCAGCAAACGACGAGCUCUUUGCUUCUCACCAACACAGUCCUCUCCUGGUACACCAUCUGUCACCCCAUCCAAAGGUCCAGAAUCAUCUGUGACUCUGGAAUAGGAAGAAACUUGCAGUGCAUGUGCACUGUUCCCGUUUCUAUGUAUCGCAGAUUCCUCGGAAAAACUCGUUUCAUUAAAUAUACAAUCCUUCUCUUCCUCAUCUUCAUCUUCAUCUUCAAGGAGAUUCGCCUGAACAACAAAGUCUUCUUCCAAAUCCUCGACAUCAGAUCCCAACCGUGACAAAUCGUCAUCAUCAAGCAGUGCAGCCACUUCAGGAUCAACUGCUUUCUGCACCCUUACGCUGGUAGUCUUGGACGCAACACUGUAUAUAGUGUUCUCCUCAGGCUCUCCAUCCGCCUCAGCAAUUUGCAAUCUAGAAGCAUCAAAUGCCUAAACUCAUCAACAAGAAAACACAAAUAAUCAACAUUCCCACUUCAUCACACAAAAAAGUUAUUUAUCCAUCCCUUCAAUUCAUGCUCAUAUCAACACCAUCGAACCUCACAAUUCAAAAAUCACUAAGCUCGAAAACACUGUUCAAUAAAUAAAUAAAUAAAAAUCACCAAAGUUCAAUUUUUUUUAAGAAACAAAGAGUAAGAAGCACCUUAACAUCGCGAGGGAGGUGUUGUAGCUUGAACUUGGGGUUGUGGUAGAAAGCAGCACCAGCGCCACUGUUCUUGAUUUCCCUCAAGUGAUUCAAGUAGUUAUAGCCAUCAUCCGGAAACCCUAGCUCCAGAAUCUCCCUCCUCACGUCCUCCGGCAAGGGACCACCGCUAACUCCGGCGUCGUCGUCGUAGUAGUAGUCGUCGGGGGCGUCAUCAAAAGCGGAGUCAUCGGCGACGGGGAAGGAAACGGGGUUGUUGUCGACGCGGACGAAGACGCGGUCGGAUUGGGAGAAAGAAGGGUCGGAGGUGUCGCGAGCGAUGAGUUGGAAAGUGGCAGAGUUCUUCUUGUCGAUGAACUUCUUCUUCCUCCCUCCCAUUGUGCCUUCCAAGUGUUCCACGAAACGAGAAACAAACUGUGUCAAGUGAGUGUUCUCGUAACGGUUGCGUUGCGGCAGUGUUUGUUGUGUUUCUCACAGCGCUCUACCUAUCAAUGCAGAACGAUAACCGGAACCCUAGCUUGGGAUAUUUUGGUAAUAAAAUACUAAUUACCAGUAGUAUAAUCUUUCUUUUAUUUUUUUAAUUUGAUUGAACUGAAAACUAUAAUAGAGGAAGUUCUAAAAACACAAAUCCGUGCUAAAUAAUAUUAAUAUAUUUUUAUUAUUAAUUAAAAUUUAUUUAAAAUGUAAAAUUAUGAGUGAAACACUAAAACUUAUUAAAUUAUGAAUCUUUAACAUUUACGUGAUCUUUAACAAAUUUCAAUUAAUAAUAAAAAGUAAAAUAUAUUAUUUUUUUACAGAGUCAGAUAUAUUCAUAUAAAUGUAUUACUACCGCUUGUAAAAAAAACAUUUUUUAUUAUAAGUGAAACUUUUAUUCUUCUAACUCUCUUUAUUGGUCAUUCUUAAUAUGUGUCAUAUUUUGUCUUCCUUCCAUUUGUAUUUUACUGGUUGUGCAACUAGCCAAAAAUCAUCUAUCAAUAAUCUGAAAUACUCUUUUUUUUUAUUCAUAAAUACUCUUGUUAUAUAUUUACCCGUAGACUUCAUUUUCUUGAUCAUCUAUCUAUUUUAAUAUGUCGUCUUUUAUCUUUGAAUUUAAUUUCAAUGAUUUUUUUAAAUGAUAAUAGUUAAAACUAAAAUCAUAUAGAAGAUAGAAUGACAUGUUUGCUACAUAACUUUAUUUUUUUAAGUAUAUAGUCAUGGGUUUGAUUCCUCACUGGUGUGUAUGAAAAAAAAUAUUUAUUAUGAGAGAUCAAUCUCUUAAAUGAAACUUAAUUCUAAGAGUGUUCGAAUACGAGUCAUUCAUAAAUUUAAAUUGACCCAAAUUAACUCAAAUAAGUUGAGUUGAAUAUUUUUUAUAAUUAGAUCAAAAUUGACCUCACCCAUUCAAACUUAUUGAAUUUUAGGCUAAGUCACAUGUUUUAAUAUCUCGACUUGUUAAUUAAUAUCAAAAAAUUAUUAUUAUUAUUAUUAUAUAUAUAUUUAAAAAUUUAAAAAAUCAAUUAUUAUUCUUAUUAUCGAUGAUUAAGAGUGAGAUCAUCUUUUCUUUUUCUCAAUUCUCAUGACUUCACUUAAUCGUUUUCACAAAAUUAAGGUUUCAACUCCCAGCUAGUUAUAAAAUAUCCAUUUUGUUUUUUAAUUUGUUUCAAACUCUUUUAGAUUUAGUUGAAGUUUUCACUUGAAUUGUUCAUUUGAUUAUUUAAGGGCAUUAGAAUUUUCAAACUAUGUUAUAAUAGUUUUAGUUUUUGGGUUUUUAGGCUUAGUGAGUGUGGUUCUUGAACUUGUUUAUUAUAUUUUAAUAUUUAAAUCACAUUUAACAUAAUAUAUUAGUCUAUGUAAUGAUGAUAACAACAAUGUGAUUCCUUCCUUAAUAUUUUCUUCCACUGUUUGUCUACUUGUAACAAUUAUAAGUAAUGUAUUUUAUAUUUCAUUUAAAAUAAAAAUAGCUUAUAAAAAAUAUUAGAUUUGAAAAAAUAACACACAAAUUUAAAUGUUUUGCCUUGUUGACCCAAUCCACAUCAUAUACAAAUAAAUUGGUUUGGGUUGGGUUUUAAAUAUUGAUAUCGGGAAACUAACCUAAAUCAACCUAUUCAAUCUUGAUAGGGUUGCCUCAUGGGUUUCAUCAAACCCAACCCAAAUCGACAUGCUUGCACCCUAACUCACUACCUCGAGAGAUUAGUUAUAUGCUUUCAACCAAGAAAUAUCUUGGUUCACACGCAAAAAAAAAAUCAUAUAAUAAUUAUUUAUUUGUCAGAUUAAAAAUAUAAUUUAUAUAUUUAAAUAUAUUUAUUUUCUAUAGAUUUUAAUGUAAUAUAAUUUUAAUAUUUAAAUUAUUAUAUUUUAAUAUAAUAUUUAAUAUUAAAAAAUUUAAUAAUAUUAAAAGCAAAUAUAUAUCCUAUUGAAACUAGAUUAACCUAAGAUAUGAGAGAUGUAUCCAAGUUAUAUACUAGUUUACGUCUUUUUAUGUCUAUGUCUAUGGAUAUAUAAUUUUAGGUCACACAAAUAGGAGAGUAAGUGGGAUCGGUUUAGGUUAGGUUAGUCAAACUCAUGACUCAAUUCAAUCAAAUUUGAAUGGGUUGGUUUAGGUCGAAUUUUUAAGAAAAAUAAAUAAAACUUAACACGAACCCGUUUGUAAAUGAUUUGCGUUGAAUUGGAUCAACGGUAAAAAGAUUUAAUUUUGUCUAUUCUUUUUUUAAAAAUAAUACUUUUUAUAAACUAAAAUUUGUAUUAAAUGAAUCAAACACAAUUAUUUUUUAUUAGUUUUUUUAUUAAUUUUUUUAUGAUAUUGUCACACCCUACUCCAAUUUGUUGAUUCCUAUAUAUCUAUUUAUCCACGGGGAUGAAAAAUUAAGCAAACGAUAUUCGAGAAAAGGAGUUUCAAUAAGCAUAGCGAGGAUGUGUUUCAAAUACUUUUUUAAAUCAAAACCAAUAGAAUAUUACGAGCCUUAUUCUUUGUAAAUAUAUUUGAAAUAUUUUUAAAAGCUCAUAUGAAGUGGCUUCAAUCAGUAAAAUCAUUGCCGAUUUGAUCCUGAAGGUUAAGGAUACGUUAAUACUUACUAAAUUCAGGUCGAUAAGUCUAUAAUCAACCAUCAAUAGUAUUUGAUUUUUUUUAAUAUUUUAAAAUAUAUAUUAUAUGUUACAUAUAAUAAUAAUAAUUUAAUAUAAAUAAACGAAUCAACAAGUUCAGAUAUUAAAAUUCCUAUCUCAAGCAAAAAUUCAACGAGUUUGACCCAGGCACAAAAAUUAUCUCACCCAAAUUACUUAGAUUGAUUUUGAUGUAUUCAAAUUUCGAAGUGACUCGUAUUUAUUUACACCCCUAGAUACAAAUGACAAAUGCAUACCAAAUUUGGUAACUUUGGAUCUAAUAGUUUUGUAAUUUAAGACUGGGUAAGAAUGAAUCUAAACCAUCUAAUGCCUUGGAAACCCAAAAAUUAACUUCCAUUUCCCAUUUUAAGCUUGGAUAAGAUUGAAUCUAGACCAUUUAAUGGCAUGAAUUGCAUAUACAAUAUUGAAACAACAAGAAUGAUGAAAGAUAUAAUCGGUGUACGCUGAUUAAUAAAUAGACAAUUAAUCAUGACACAAUCACAAACACACACAUAUAUAUAUAUAUAUAUAUAUAUAUAUAUAUUUUUUUUUUUUUUUGCAGUUUACAGAAACAAUUAUUUUCAACACUAAUUCAAAAGGAUGAAUAUUCAAAUGAAAUAUUAUCAUGUUGCAAUAAGACAAACUCUAGUGAUGUACCUGCAAAUAUUCUAAUACUUAAAAGGGAAUAAGUGUAUCAAAGUUAGAGAGUGAUGGAAAAAAUAAGAUUAGAAAACAAUACCUCAUUAAAGGUAUAUAACCAUUUUUUUUGAAAAUGAUACUUUACGCUUAUAAAUGAAUAUAAAAAUUAGAGACAAUAUAUUUAAGGCCUACAUGACUUAUUUAUAUUAUUUUCUAUAGACUAUAAUGGUGUUUUUUAUGUGAUGAAGCGUGAGAAAGUACCUAUAGGGGCGAAUCAUGUGUAAUUUGUUACGUCUACUAACGAAUGCUCCAAUUUGAUAUGGUACUUAUAUUGGGAUUGAUGUCUCACCAUAAGGUUCUUGCCGUGAGUCUUAGGAAUUGCUCCUUUUGUGCUCUUUUAAGAAAAUUAAUUAAUUUAGUUAAUUAUACUAAAUUUAUCGAUAAUUUAUUUUAUUAUUAUUCUAAAAUUAUUUUUUAUUUAUUUUUUCACUUAAUUAUUUCUCACGAAGUAAUUAAUGUCUAAAAAUAAAAUAUUAUAAUUAAUUAAAGAUAUUAUAAGAAAAAAGAGAAUCUAAUAAAAGGAACAAACAAUCAAGUAAAAAAUAUCUUAUAUAUAAAAAUGAAGGGAGUAACUUUUGAGUUUCAUAACUAUCACAACAUGCUAAAAUCUUCUUGAAAAAAUAUCAAAACAAAUUAUUGUCAUGUAUAUUAUAUUUUACACAAGUUUUGAUUUAACAUCAUUUGUCAUGAAUAUAUAUAUAUAUAUAUAUAUAUAUAUAUAUAUAUAUAUAUAUAUAUAUAUAUAUAUAUAUAUGUAUGUAUUGUAAAUAUUGAUAUAACAUUUACUAUCAUGUAUUUUAUUAAUUAAAAAUAAUAGCAAAAUAUAUUAAAAAUCACAACAUAUAAAUUUGUAGGAUAUACACUUAUCACAAGUUAUUAAACUAAUUAAAAAAACAAAGGUGUUUAAAUUUUUAAAUUUAAAAAUAAAAAUUAAUUCACUUAAUAAAAUAAUUUUUAUGACAAUUUUAAAAUAUUUCAUCAUACUUAUUUUGUUGAUAAAAAAUAAUUAAGUAUUGAUAAAAACAAUAAGAAAUUAAAAUUUAUUUUAAAUACUGUCUAGUUGCUAAUUAUUUUAAUUUAAUAUGUCAACUAAUAAAAUAAAAAAUGCACGUAACUACAUAAAAAAGAAAAUAAAUAUCAGUCCACCUUUUAAAAAUGAGGAUUUUCUAUAAUAGAAAAACUCAGAGGUGGACAAUAAUAAUUACAAUGGCUCUUUCAUUUAAUCAAUUAUAACAAAGUUUGUUGAGUUUUAGUGACAUCUUUGGGAUGCCUUUUGUUUUUGGACUGACGCAAAUUUAAUCAACCAAUACAAUAGUACUAAUACACAAUAUUCAAUGACCGGCAAGAAUUUAUUAAUUGUUCAAUAAGAAAAUAAAAUAAAAACAUAUUAAUGCAAUAUCAAUUAGAAAACAUCAUAAAUAUAACAUUUAAAAUAAUUAUUAAAAAUCAAUAAUAUGAAAAUGUAAUAUUUUUUAUAGCAUUAGUAUAUUUAAAUCUAUUUCUAUAUUAUAAAUUAAAUUUUUAAAUUUAGGGAGUGAAGUUUUUUUUCCACUCUCUCAUCUAGAUAUUCUUGAAAUCCAAACGUUGUUUUUUCUUUCUUUAGUAAAUACAUUUCACACGCUAUUCCAGCUUCAAGUAAACAAAUUAUCUCUCUCAAUCAUCUCAAAUUAAAAAUCAUUUUUAAUCAUUAUAAUUAGAAAUUUUGUUUCUGUGAUAGAACCCAUAAGUAUUUAACAAGUUUUGAUUCUUUUGAACUUGAUCCCCACUUGAACACAGUUAAAACUUAUCAUCACUUUCAAAAGAUAUAUUUUAUAGAUAUCAAAUUCAGAUCCUUCAACAUAAACUGUUGCCAAUUAAGCUAAACCAUUGGUUCCAUUUUUUGUUAUCUUGCUUAUUUUUUUAACCACUUAGCUAUUUUGGUUAAAAAUAAAAUUAUAUUAAAAUUUAAAUUAUUAAUUAAAAAUUCAAAAUAUAUUUUAUAUAUUUAGAUGAUUUAUUUUCUUGUAAUUUAAUUAUAAUAUUUUAUAAAUUUAAAAUACAUGUUUAUUAUAAAUUAUAAUUAUGUACAAAUAAAUAUUUAUCUAGUAAAAUACAGAUUAUAAAAUACUAAUUGAAUUCUUAUGUCUUGAUAACUUGUUUGAUAGUGGUAUUAUAUUAUUCACUAUAUAUAUUUUUUUAUUUUUAUAAAAAUAUGCAUAAAUGUAAGUGAGAAUCCCAAAAUUUCUUCUUCUAUAAUCCUUCCUCUUCAUUCACAUGAAAGGUAGAAUCUUCUUCUUUCCUUUCCAUUUGAAUACUUAGUUGGUGCCCAAACAUUCCAAAAGAAAAUAUAUUUUCCACAUAAAAGAAGUUGCCAAAGUCCUUUGUUGUUUCGGUUUGAAAUGGCUCCCACAUAGUCCCACUUGAUCCAUUCAACGUCUCAAUUCAAACGACGCCCAUAAUAAUAAUUAAAUAAACAAACAGAACAAGAGAGAGCGCAUUACCAAACCCCCCAAAGAACACGUUCACUCUCGAUUUUGCCUUGCAAAUUGCGAUUUCUCUGCAGUUUCUUCCAUCCUCCAACUCUGACCUUUCUUGACGCGAUUUUGGUUUUUGUCAACUUCUUAUUGAAACCCUUCUUCAGUCUUCUCCCAUUUCCAGAGUUCUUAUAAAUUGAUGCUUUUUACAAGUCUUUCUGAACAUUCCGUUUCCUUCCUCCAGGUACCAUCUUGCUUUCUCUUUUACAAGUUUUGAUUUUGAUGAUUCCGUUGCUGAGAGAGGCACUUUAAUCCAUUUGGGUCUUUCCAGAUUUUUGCUUUCUUGUGUUUUCCUCUAUCCUUGGAAAUCUUGUGAUUCCCUCUAUCCUAGUAAAUCUUGUGUUUGUUGAUCUUUCUAUAGGCUUAUGAAAAAUGUUCUUUCAGGUUCUAUCGGGAAUUUUUGUACUUUUUUUCUUUUCCUUUUUAGUUUCUCUUAGGGUCCUUGUCAAUGGUUGGUGGUUUUUCCUUAUGUUGCUUUACAUUUGAUCGCUUUUGUUCCUUUUAUCUUUGCCCUUUUUAUUAACAUGUAGUUUUUGUCAAGUUAUGAUGCAUUUGGUUUGUUGAUAAAAUUAAUGCUUUUGUGAUAAGCGGAUUAAUAAUUUGAUAUUUGGGUUUCUUUUGCUUGUUGUGGUACAUUUAUAGUGACUGAUUAGCACUUGCUUGUCUUUUCAGGGAAAAGUUAGCGUGUCCUUAGGUCACAUAGGAUUUUGAGAAAUUUACUUUUUAAUUUGCCUCUGAAUUAAUUCUGCAAGAAGAGAGAUAAUGUCUGGUUCAAAGAAAUCUCCUUUGAAGGUUGCUAAGCCUAGCUCUGCUGAAUCUUGGACGAAUCCAUUUGAUUCUGAUGAUGAGGGAAAGGAUAGCAAAAAAUAUAGUUCCUCUAGAAAAACUUCUUCGGAGCGCGCACUUGCUACACUGGAAGUUAACACCAACCCCUUUGAUGAUGAUAUUGAUGCCAAUAAGAAAUCUUCAUCAACUUCGUAUGCCUUUCAAUCUGCCAACCGGAACAGGUAUAAGAAUGAUUUUCGUGACUCUGGUGGAUUAGAGAAUCAAUCGGUUCAAGAACUGGAGAGUUAUGCUGUUUACAAGGCUGAAGAGACUACAAAUUCAGUCAACAAUUGUUUGAAGAUAGCAGAGAACAUAAGAGAGGAUGCUACCAAGACACUAGUCACCCUUGAACAACAGGGUGAACAAAUUACCAGGAGUCACCAUGUUGCUGCUGACAUUGAUCACGAUUUAAGUCGGGUAUCAAUCUUGUUAAUUAAUACACUUUUUCUCUGUUCCUAUUUGGGUGGCUUCUUCAUGUUGUUUUACCUUUGUGAAAAUAUUAUGUUGUUUCAUAAUAUCAUUUUGUUAUGAAACCCUUUUGAAUUCAAAUCAGUAUUCUGCUCUAAAACUGACUAAAUUUUGACUAUUGCUGCUUCCAGGGAGAAAAGCUCUUGGGAAGCCUUGGUGGCCUCUUCUCCAAAACUUGGAAACCAAAGAAGACACGAGCAAUAACCGGCCCUGUUAUUGUUGGAGGUUAAUAUCUUCUCUGCAUAUGUUUUCUUUUAUAAUUUUAAUAUUUUUGGGUUGUAUCAUUGGCAUAAUCUCAUGGCAAAUAACAUCUCAGAAACUAUAGUUUUUAACCCAACUGUGUGCCUUUGUGUGUUUGAUGUAGCCGAUCUCAUCUAGUGGGAAAAGACUUUGUUGUUGUUGUUAUUGCUAUAUCAUUGGCAUAACGCGGUUUGUGAUAUGCAGAUGAUCCGGUCAGGAGAAAGGACAAUCACUUGGAGCAGAGAGACAAGUUGGGACUGACCUCUGCACCCAAAGGGCAGUCCAAGCUACGGACCCCCCCUCCAGAACCAACAAAUGCACUUGAAAAAGUUGAGGUUCGUAUAGAGUAGUUAAAGAUUAAAUUGUUGUUUAAAGCCUAAGUGUGUUAGGUACUGUUAUGAUACCAGUUUUAUCAGUGUCUUUCUGAUUUUGAUGUGAUUAACUACUGUUGGUGACUUUUUACUAUAGUUUCAGCUCUAAUGACCAGAUCAGUAAUUUACAAGUUGCAACAAACCAGUUUUAUUUACAAUCAUUAACAAUUUUGCAAACUUUAUCUUCAUCUUUCUCCCACUAACACUAGACUCUAGACACUGUUAGACGACAUUAUAUUUAUUGUUAAUAUUGAAUUAAGCUACUAAAUAAAAUGUCCUGAAACAGGUUGAAAAAAAGAAGCAAGAUGAUGCACUAUCAGAUUUAAGUGAUCUGUUGGGAGAGCUUAAAGACAUGGCUGUUGACAUGGGAUCCGAGAUUGAGAGGUUAGUCAAUUGCAUUGUAUUGUUUUAUAUAGUAAUUCAUUACUUCUUAGGUGAUUCAUGAACACUAGAUUUUAAUGUACUUGUAGAAACAAGGUUAUAGUUUAUCAAACAAUUUGAAUGGCAUUACUAAUAGUUUAUUUGGGUAAAUUGUGCAGGCAUAACAAAGCCCUGAAUCAUCUAUACGAUGAUGUGGAUGAGUUGAAUUUCCGAGUGAAAGGUGCUAAUCAACGUGGCCGUCGUUUGCUCGGAAAAUAAGAUUGAUUGAUUUCAUCAUUGUGUUUUUCUCUUUGUAUCCAUCAUCUGGUUUAAUGAAAGCAAUCUUUUCAUUUAGUUUAUACUUGUGUUGCAUUAUAUAUAAAAUAUGCAACAGAUUAAAUAAGUCUGGGUGCAAUACUACAUAAUUCAAUUUGUUGAUUUAUCUUGCUGGCUUUACAGGUAGAGCUUCCAUUUUUGCUCUUUACAAGGGUGUAAGUAAGUGAUUCGGGUUGAGUUGAAGUUUAUUUAUUUUUCAACCCAAUUAAAUUUAAUUGGAUUGGAAUUUCUUUUGGUCAUACCAAACCAAGUCAAUCAAACUUUAUUUAGAUUGGUUAUGAGGUUGAACUAUUAAAAAAUUGUCAAUUCUUUAGGCCUUGGAAUUUUUUUUAAAAAAAUUUCAACUAAAAAUUAGUAAGGAUAAUUUUUUUUGGAUAUUUUAAAAAAUCAGUAUUUAUAAAAUAUUAUAUUAUUCAUACGGUUAAAAAAAAAUCAUAAAUACCACUUCUAUUACCAUUCAUAAACAAUGAAUUGCCUUAAAAUAAAUAAAAAAAUAAACUUCAAAAUAAUAUAUUAAUUUGAGAAUGAGAUGCGCAUAAUUAAAGAUUUUUAUAUUAGUAAAAUUGUAUGUGGCGUUUUCAAAUCUGUCACUCAAUUUAUGAGUUUCAUUAAAUUUAUUAAACUAAAAUCAAUCAAAUUUAAUGAUUUAAUUUAAUCUAAAAAAAUCUAAUUGAGUUGGAUGGGAUGAUUAUCUAUAUUGGGUUCAAUACAUUCACAUCCUAGCAAUAUCAACCAAUUGGGUAUCAAUCAUUGAAGUUUAUCUCUGCCGUUAUGAAAGUGCUGAAUGAUUAAUAUACAUUUAAUUUUUAUAUAUUAACAGGAUAAUAAUUUAUAAUGUUAAAAAUUUUGAGGACGAAUCAGAAAUCUCUUUAAAUAUGAUUUUUUUAAUGAUUAUAACGAUAAGAGUAGUCAACAAUUUUAUGUAUAUGGCAAUUAACAAUUAUGCAUAUGAAAAUUCAUGAUUGAUGACAGGGUAAAAAUAUUGUCAGUGUAUUUUUUUUCCUUGAGAAUAAUUGUCACUUGUUAUUUUUAAAAAUAAAAGGCUUGCUUAUUAUAUCUUUAAAAUAUUUUAUUUUUUGAUUCCUUAAGGACAGAAUGAAUUGAAUAAGGUCAUUUUUAAUAAAAAUGAUGUUUUUUCAAUACAUUGAGGUUUUUCCACCACAAAAGCACAAUACAGUAAUUCUGUCAAAACCUUGUUUUGGAACGCAAAAUUGACUUCGCACAAAUUUUACCAAACACGUUGAGACAAAAAUCGAAAUCAUUUCAGUGCCAUAACAUUGUUCUAAAGGUUUUUCUGUGUUUCCAAACAAGCUAUCCAUUUAAGUUAACUAAAAGUGAAUUAUGUAAAAUUAUAUAGGGUUCAUAAUAAUUAACUAGCCUGUCAUGUCAUGUUAAACCCUAACUGUUUUGAAGGCAUUUGAAUCAAGAGAAAUAGUAAGGAUAUAGUUUUUAACAUACUCUUUUAAUAUAUUCUUUUAUUAUUAGUUGAAAUUAAUUGAAAAAAUCCAAUCUAUUUAAUAAAUAUCACUUAUAUUUUUGUAACUUUUACAAAUUUCAGUCAGUAAUAAAAGGCACUAUAUUUUAAUUAACGAUUAGAAAGUGCUAAAUUAUAUAAAUUUUGCUGUAAUUCCUUUUUUUUUUAUCAAUAGCAGUAAUUCCAUAAAUAUUAUUAAUAUUAUUUUCCAAUAAAAAUUGACAAUUCAUUUCAGGAUCAUUGCCAAUUUUAUUUACGGGUAUAAAAACAAUGGAAAAGAAAAAUCCAUUCUGAUUAUUAAAACAUUACCAGUGAUAUUGUAUUUAAAUUUUGUCCAAUAAAAUUAAGUGGUUGCAAUUUUGCAUGGACUUCAGGUGAAGUUUGAUCAUUUGAGCCAACCAAGUAUAAUCAUGCUUCUAGCAAGUGUCUUUCAUAAUAAAUUAUUGCAAAGGUGGUUAGAACUUUGCUGUGGAUACAAAUAUAUAGCCAAUUAAAUACAAUUUCAAUGGCAGGGCUCACAUUCCCUUAGUCCUAAUACCUAGUCUACAAGAUUUUUCGGUUAAGGUUUUCUAAGUCCCGCACAAGCUGGAGCAUCAAAGUUGGGGAAUACAAUAAAUGCAAUGGAUAAAGGAGCCAAGUGUAUUGGAGAAUGUACAUUAUUGAGUAGUGGAUCCAAUGUUGGAAUUUCUCCAUCAUUUGUCAAUUCUAGGGGGAUACCAUUCAGCAACAUGGUUUGACUUCUAAGGUAAUCAUCUUUUGGAGUUAAGUGGUACUCCUCCCUGAAUGUGACAUCUGAUCCUUUUGUUCCAAUCCAAGAAAAUGCUUUCUUGAGAUGACUAAAGAAUGAGUUUUCUGUAUGGAUGCUUUUAGCAUUUUCAUUUCCUCCAUUGCUCACAGGCACACGGUCAUGAACCGUGAGUGUGAAAUGAGUCUGAUUGCUUAAGUUGAUCAGCAGUAAUGUUAUACCAUCCUGUAUAAUGAAAUUAAAAAAAAGAAUUGUAGGAAUGCUAAAGGUACAAUUGAAAAGUUGCAAUAUAUCAAUUAGAUGCCUAAUACCUACCCAAGUCACAAAAGAUAAAGCUAAUGUCCUUGUAAAUUCAACUUAAAUAAAAAAGAAAUUGCUAGGAAAUAAAGAUUCAUUUUAGGUGCAGUUCCCCAAUUGAAUUAUGCUAUGGUUAUGUGUAUUUAACGAUUUUAUGGGUGUAAUUCUGUUUUUAUUUUAUCCUCCCAUCUUAAUACAUAUGUAAUGACAACAUACAUGCACCAUAUGUGAAACUUUCAACAUGGUCGAACAAGUAUGGUAACAUUCAAUUCAUUGAUGUUAAUAUCACCUUGGGUCUCUUUUGAGUCAAGCUAGAAUUCAAUCUAGCAUAAACAUUUUGCAUAAUGAUUAUGCUUAUGAUCAAAUUUAUAUAUAUAUCAAACGUCAGUAUGUUUAUAAGGUGUCAUAUCAACUUAAAAUUUUAGAAGUUGGUAAGCAAACAUCAGAUAUAGAAGAACGAAUCCUAAACUAAUGUUCCUUUGCAUAGUUUAUCUUAUAAUAAGAUGAUAGCGCACUUACUCUGCUUUUUGAACAAUGGGCAUAAGUGCGUAAAGAUGGUGAAAAAACAUCACUACUAGCUGCAAGAACAGUCUUCCCCAUUAGCUGAUGCCACAACAGUGCACUGCUCAAAAACAACACCAGGACCUAGAUUAUACAAUAUGUUAAGCAAUAUGUUUAUAACACUUUAGAAAAACAAAUAUAUAUUUUCUUCUUUUUCUCUUCAUUUUACAUUUUUCAAUUGGCACUUGCCUGUAAUAGUCAGGAUUUGGAAUGAAAGUAGUGGUAUUGAGAAGACCAUAGUUUCCUCCAAUUAAAGUCUGCCUGCAAUAAACCUUAGUGUUGUAUCUGGAUGCUAUUCCAAGUUGAUCCAAGUACCUGUAAUGUAAGUCACCUAAAUUUUAGAACUUAUAGAUUACUUUUAAUGAUAUUUUUUAUCAAACAAAAUAUUAUAAAUUCUUAUUUCAUCACUUAUAGAGGAAUAGAAAAUGAUGUAAGGAAGAACCAAGAUUACCAAAAGCUAUUUACAAAUGUGUUAGAAACAGAACGACCACCACUGUUGAAUGCCCCGCCAGCUUCACCUACCCAUGCAGAAGACCAAGGGCCAUAUUUUUGAAUGGUUUCUGAAAGAUUGCUAAAAAUUGAUUCAACCUUGCUCAAGCACUCAGGAUCUAGAAUCUUCCUGUCAAGAUGCUCAUCACUACCUGAAAAAGAGAAAUUAACUUAAUAUACUAACCAGAGGGGAUAGACAACAUCAUUUUCCCAACAAGUAAACACAAUAUAUCAGUUGCCAGUAUAUGUUUCUCAGCUUGUGGAAAAGUUAGCACUUAUUGGAAAGAUAAUCACAAAUUAAAUAGAGACGUGACAAAAUAUGAUGUAUUAGUUAUUAUUGCCUUUUGCAGGUGACACAUGUCUAUGUUGGCAUACAUAUUGUGUGUAAAGAUCUUUAGGUAGCUAGAGAGAUUAUCAAGGAAAAGAGGGAGAGAGAGGCUAAGAGGUAUCUGUACAUAAAUUAACAUCAGCAACUGUUAAUAUAUUAGCUCUUUGAAGUCUGGAUGAUAUGAGUUUUGUCAAAAGAGGCAAUUCAUUGUUUAUUUUAUCAUUUUUCUUUCACUCAUUUGUUUUUUAAUAAAAGAAAGUAUUAAUUAUCCCCUCAUUGAUUGUAUCUGAUGCCACUUCAACACUACUUAAAAAGAAAUUAGAACAGAAACACAAGAAGGAUUAGAAUGCAACACUUUCCAUAUGACUGCUUUCUUUCACAUUCAUCAUCUAGUUAUGUUGGAACGUAAAAUAUUCUCUAAGAAUGACUAUAGUAGAAAUAAUUAGGUAAGUGACAAGCAAACCUGGGCCCAAAUUAUACACAUGAUGUGUCAGCACAUUGACUAUGCCUGGACCUGUAACCUGAAGAAGCUUAUCAAACCACUCCUUAUUAUAGAAUCCUCCAGGUGCUACAAGGGAAGGUUUGAACGUGGAGUUUUUGUAUAAUGUGCGUAAAAUUUCUUUAAGCUUUAUCAAGUCUUUCCCAUACUGUGCAGCACCAACUCUAGCCCCAAUGCCCUUCCCACUCAACUCAUUACCUAUAGCACAUCAUGCAAGAAUAAGAUCCAAUGAAACAAAAUUGAAUAUAACAAACAGCUUUGUCUUCAAUCCUACCAAAUUCCCAUGAAUCAAUUUUGUACCCCUUUGAAAUGGUGUAAUUGAUAAAAUCUUUGGCAUUGGAAGGAUCCCAGUCUCCUCCCCAAACAGUAUGACUAAUCUGGUGCCUCCCAUGGAGUGCAUUCAAACCAAAUGUCACAAGGGCACUGCAAGGUUAAACCCAACUAAGUUACUCCACAGAUGUCAAGUCACUCACAACACACACUGAAGCAAAAAAAAAACAAAAACAAAGGAAAACUACCCAUUCGAAAUGCAUGUGAACAAAACUCAGAUCCUUUAAAUUGUCUAGGAGAAUUUUUAUUGUACAGGUUACUCUGAGGUGUAACACUAAUUUUAAUUGCAGAACACCAAAAGCACUUGUAGUACUAAAGUUUUGUCCUUAAAAAAAUCUAUACCAAGCAGCUCUUUAGCAAAUAAAUCUAUUGCAGACUUACAGCACCCUACAUAAGAGGUAUAAUUCUAUUCUUUUCAUUUUUGCUUUAGAAGGAAGGGAAAGGGGAAGGGAGGUGGUGAAGAAAACAACAAUCUCAACGCUAAAAUUCUCACCCUGUCUCGUCGAAAAAAUGAUUCAGCUCAUCCCACCUUUUCAUCUGUAAACAUCCCUUUGAAAAUCCAAACAAUCCACCUUUCAUCUUUUGAAAUGGAUGACAAGGGGACUUCAAACUUCCUACCUCAUACAGCACUUGGUCUUGCAAAGAACCUCCGACUCUUAUCCUCAAAGGCUUGAGAGCUAUCAAGCAAACCAUUAUGGAAAGAAUGACAUCACGCAUGAGCUAAAUAUUCCAAUGAUACUAUCAAUAAAAAAAUUAUGUAGCGUAAGGAAGCCACAAAACCUUAGAAUGCCAUCAGAGUGACUGAUUUUCUACAUCAUAUACAAACCUUGGAUUGCCUUGGCAAAGAAAGGAUGAGACAAGUCCUGAAAAACCAAUCCACAUUGAAUAAUGACUAAAACUGCUUCAAAGCUUUCUAGAGUUCAAAAUGAGAGAUAGGAGAUGGGAAGAAUAAUAUAUAUAUUCUCUACUUAUUUCAUGUUUUAUGUAAAUAAGUGCGAAAAUACUCACCAAAUUUACAGCAGAUGAAUCCCCCCAGGGGCAAUAGUUGUAAUCACACUUAUCAUGAGGCCACCAAUCAAUAGUAGCACAGAUGAAAUUAUCAUCAGUUUCAGCAAUUGCUUGAAUUCCAUCUACUAGAAUUGAACCAUGUUCAAUAUCUUGAGAUAAAGUCAUUCGAAGAAAAGCCAGAAAGAGAAACAAGGCGAGGUGGAUUCCCAUGAGUGGAUCAAUUACAACAGCAUCCAAGUCCAAUUAACUGCAGUAAAAAAAGAAAAAAAAAUGUUAGGUUGUAUUUGGUCUUUUUACCAUUUCAUUUCCAGAUAAUUUGUUUCCACUGAUAAUUAUAAAAUCAUCACCUUGCUUACAUUUCAUUUUUUGUUUUCAUGAUUUUGUGAAAGAAUGAUAAAAACAAGUAACAUUUUUGUAACUGUAAGUCAAACAAAACAAACAUUCUCUAACUUAUAGACAGAUCUUCUGAAACUACAUAAUUGCAAUUUUCUGUAUCUAACAGCUGUUUCAAGAUAAGCUUUUAACUGAAGAAUAGCGCCUAAUGAUUAGCCGGUGGUAUAAACCACAAAAACAAGCAAACAAACAAAUAAAUAAACAAAAGGAGAACACUUUUGUGAUUGCCUAAUCUUCAUAAAAAUAGAACCGGUAAAGAUGAAUUCAAAGUUAGUCACGAGCCGGUAAUUCAUUUAUUUUAAACUAUAUAGUAUAUCCAAUAUUAUUUGUUUUAUGACUAUACUUAUUUUUAUAAUAACAAGGAAAUCAUAAAUCGCUAUGCAGAUCUAAGAACUCGUAAGCAUUGGCCUAUUAGAUCUAAAUACAACAUCACACCGUAACAAACAAGUAAAACCGGUUUCCCCACAAGACAAGACGAACCCAGAAGAAAAAAAAAUGAAACUUGAAGAACACCCAGAUAGAGAAACAGUGGAAUAUUACAAAACAUAAAUUACAAGACCAACCUGAACCUUGUUUUCAAUGUUCUGAACUUUCAAUCCAGCACAGCCUUUAAGGAGAAAAGUGAAGCUCAAUUGUGAAGCAUGAAGCGUGAAAAUAGACAACACUAAUAAUAAUAAUAAUGUAUCAUGUAAUGUAACUGCCAAAGAAGGAGCACUUUCCUUGCCUCGUACUGCCCCAGUGGAAAGGGAAAGGUUUAUGAUGGCGAAGGUGCCAUGAAGAAGGACAACAUUGUCGUGAUGUUAGUUAGUUGGAUAGGUUUGUCUCAGGUGGGUGGUGACACAACUCACAAGCACUGAAACAUUUAAUUUUUUUUAGCUGAAGGGGUUUUCUCAUGAGGUAAUUGUUGUUGCCUCCAAAUUUAGGUGUGGUUGUGGUAGAGUGGUUGAAGGUAUGCAUCGUUUUUGGAAAGCAAACAACUCAGCUAACGGUGCAAGCAACUGUCAAUUCUUUCCCUCUUCUUUUAAUUUGGACUAGGAAAAAAAAGUACAAUUAUUAUAUAUGUUUUGUGAUACAAAAAAAAAAAAUCAAAAAGAAAUUUUGCCCAUUUGCUGAAAUUGCAAGUCGUCUCUUCUUUGUCUUGUCUUGACUUUGUGGAGAAGCUAUACCUUCUUCCACCACAUGGAAAGAUUUUUUUGAUUUUUUGUUUUUUUAUGUUAAUUUAUUCAUUGUUGGCGUUUGGUGACUGGAAAAUGUGUUGGAUUGGGUUUAAUAGCUUGCAAUCGACUAAAUGCAUAUGUGAUUGGAUUCGUUUUACGAUUAUUUUUCAAAAGUGAAUGGAAGUAUCAAUUGGAUCUAGAUUUUGGUUGAACUUUGUUCAACAAAUAUCAGGUUAUUAUGUUACUGUUGUAAUUUCGAGCAAUUGAAGAAUAUCAUAUAUUACAAGUUUAGGUCAACUAAUUGUCGAAAUUAAAAUUGCACAAACUUUGACUAUAGUAUUAUACUUGCAUAACGAAUCACUAUAGUUGUUUUAUAAAAACAUUUUUAGGUUAAAAAAUACUUUAAAAAACAAAUUUUCUUUCUUAAAAGUAAUCUGACUUAAGUAUGUGUUAAGUCUUAUUCUUUUUUUAAAAAUACAUUUUUCAAUGGCGGAUAAAAAUAUAGAAGACAAAAAAAUAAAGGUGUGUUUAUUGAUAACACUUGAUAAUAUAUACUAAUUAAAAUAUACUUCUUUUGGUUGAAACAAAUUUUAGUGUAAAAAUACACUAAAGGACCAGAGAUAUAAUACCUAAGUUUGUAGAAGCAUGUUCUUUCAAAGUGUAAGCACAUUAAUAAAAUGUUUAUAUUUAGCACCAAAUUAAAGCCAACAUUUUUUUCUUUAAUUUAAGACGUCGUCAUUUGUCUUCAUUAAUGCCAAUAAAAUAUUUAAAUCUUUCAAAAUUUGAAUUUCAAUUAAUUGGUCUAUUUUAAUAAUUUUCUUUGACUUUUAUUAUCUGGGUGUUUCUUAACUUUCUUCUAGCACUCCAAUAAUAUCAAUCAGCACCCCUUUUAUACGCUAGAAAUCCGAUCCCAAUCCAAAAUAUAAUUUUUACAUUUUGGAUUGGAUUCUUUAGAAUACAAAGUGGAUGCUAAUUAAUAUUGUUGGAAUGCUUUAAUCUUAUGUUUUUGGUACGAAAGGACCCAAAAAGGUCCACUUUAUUUUAUUUUAUUUUAUUGAUUAGUAUUUCAAUUUUUACCCGUAUAAUCAACAAAUUGUGCAUUUAACUCUACAUGAUUAACUAUAACAAGGUACAUAUAUUUAAUAUAAAACAUAAAAUAUUAUUUUAUAAUUAUAUAUUAAUGUUUCUUGUUUAAGUAUUUGUUUCCAUAUAUACAAAAUAUAUAUAUAUAUAUAUAUAUAUAUAUAUAUAUAUAUAUAUAUAUAUAUAUAUAUAUAUAUAUAAUGUUUAACUACUAAUGAGAUGUAAAUAUCUAUUCCAUAAAUUAGAUAUCAAUAUAAUUUUAUGUUGAAGUUUUUUUUUUCCAUGUGAUUCAAAUUGUCCGACUAGAUUUAAGACUUAAAUUUGUAUAGUGAGUUAUCUCAACUUCAAGUUUGCUUCAACUUAACUCAUUGAUGCAGAUAAAAGUCAAUGAUUAGGUACAUGAUUUUUAAGAUACGCUUGUGCACAAUGGUUCAUAUUUUAGUUUAGAAUAAAGUUUUCAUAUCGUUAUGCUAAGACAAUUGGACAAGGCAACAUAGCCAUUAAGAGCCACGUGUGAAGGAAUUUAACCCAUUUCAAACUCUUAUAAAUACAAUUAACAUCAGUAUAAUAAGUAAGCAUUUAUAUACAUUAUCACUCUGGCAAAAUCAUUACUUACUUGAGUACCAACGUGCCUUUUGUAGGUACCACAUUCCUUACUCAUGGCAUCCCAAACUUAACAAAGAAAUCUACCAUUGUUUGAAGAUGUCGAACUUCAGUCUAAUUAACAGUCCUAUCUUAGACAAAUUGUUAAUGUUGUUUGUGAUAAUUUAAUAAAUCCAAUUCUCACCUAACGUAGUCAACAACUUACGCCAGCAAACUCAGGCAGAGGCCAUCUCGUAAGGCCACAAGGUGGUCAAUUCACCUUUAAUCAUGAUGUUGGCACUAUCUCCAUGCAUUUGAAUCAAUAAGAUUUUUAGGCAGAUUCGUCGUGGGUGAUAGCUCAACAAGGACAAGGAAACUUGCAUUGAGAGUCACAAGAAUAUGCUGAUUAAGGAAACAUUGUCACAAAGCAUGAUCUAUGGUUAUCAUAACAAUAAUAGCAAAUAUCAAUGUAGGAAAAAUGUUAGGAGAUAAGGGAAGCUUGGCUAAUAUAUUAUACCAUUAGACUUUUAGUCAGAUGGGGAUUGCAUGAGAACAAUUGGUAGGAUUCGCAGGAGAUUGGAUCUAGUUAUUCGAAUACCUAGAGACGUUGUUCAUUGUGGGGGAUGAAGUGACAAAGAAAGCCAUCCUUACAAAGUUUUUGGUGGUAGAGUGCCUAAGCCAAUUAGUAUAAUGAUAUAUUGUGACAUCCAUUUCUACCAUCCAUGAAGUUUCUUAGAACAUGUCUUGACGCCUCGUCCGGUAUCAUUAGGAGUGUCUGUUUAUUUUUUUAUCGUCUUUUUUUAUAUAUUUUUUUUAAAUCAGCUAGGAGUGUCUUCUUGUUUUACCGUUUCUUAAAAAAAAAAAAAACAUAAAAUUUAUACUUAAAAAAUAAAUUGAAAACGUCUAUUUUUGGCAUGAUGAAACUUUUCACAUUUUAAAAAAAAUCUGUUUCAAGGUAAAGUUAUGCAGUGCACCGACCCAACCAACCAGAAAAUAACAAAGCAAAGAGAAAACGCAAUGCAUGCUGUUCCUCAAAUCACCCCUAUAAACCUCAUUCCCUCCUUUUCAACUCUUUCUCUUCACUCCUUUUCCAAAUUAUCUUCAAAACCCUAAACAAAACCGCAUAAUCCCCUUGUUCCACGUUAUCCUUAUGAUUCCACUCUCUGUUUUCGCUUCCUUUCGUCUUUUUCACUCUCAUUUCUGGGAGGAAUCGCUUUCCCCACACUCUUGUUAUAGAUACCGUGUUUCAGUUUAGCUUUGAAAAUCGUUCCCAGUCGACACUCCUCGCUGUGCUUCAAUGAUUCUCGAUUUCAAUAGUGUCGUAUUGUAACAUCCCCGUGGGAAUUUUGAUGGAGUAUUGUUAACUUAUUUUAACACCUGAAUCACUUAUUGCAUUGGUAUUUUCGUGAUGGAGGAUAAUGAAGUCGUUGAUGAUCAGAACUCAGGAUGGUUCCAAGUCAAAAAGGUUUUUAUUUUUUAUUUUUUUAUUUUAUUUUUAACUCUGUUGAUGUAUUCUAUUAAGACAUGACAUUUUGAUUUGUACUUGAUGAAAGAUAAAAUUGAACACACGCCAAGGAAAAAUGUAGAAUUAAUUUAGUUAUUUACUUAUUCAUUCGUUCACAAUGUAUGGAUCAGUCUUUUAGUAUCCAAACAUUUGCUUUAUUCUUUAAUCCUAGUUUGUUGUUUGGUUGUGCUAAUUCUUAUUCUUAUAUAUCAUAUGUUUCUUUGGUUAUGUUUGGGCAAUGCAUCAUAGAUUUUUUUUUCUUCUUUUUCUGUGUGGCUUGGUAUAUUACUUACGUGCUCUAAUUUUUCUCUUUCUUUCUCAUUCAGAAGCACAGAAAUACUUCGAAAUUCUCUUUGCAGAGCUGGGUGGGGGGAUUGUCGGGGAAAAAUGCCUCUAACUCUCUGCACACUCAGCAUUCCAUGACUAAAACUGAUGACAAUUCACAUAGCCAGCAGAAAACUCAUCUUUCAAGGUCAGGGGAGAAUUUUUCACAGAACCCUGUCCCUGGGAGUGUUGCAAGUUCUAUUUCCGAAUCAAAUGAAAAAGAGGGCACAAACUGUCUUAAUACUAGUGUAGUUAGACAUAAUACUGGAAGUCAGAAAUCAUCUACAUUACUUACUAUGGAUUCUCAAGGUAAACAUGAAGAAGUUAGGAAAUUAGACCAAACUGAUAAGCCUGACUUAGCCCAGAAAACACGAUGGGGUGAUUUAGAGGAGGGGGGCUUGGCACUGCCCCAUGAAAACUUGAUUGGAGUUGGAAUCAAAUUUGGUAGUAUUGGAGAUGAUAGUUUACUUAGCUGUAGAAAAAAUGGGAAUAUUCCUGAUCCUUGUGAUUCAUAUCAUCCUCCUGAAAAAAACUUGACAGCAACUACUAUUGAUGCAGAGGCUGUUUCUGGUCAGAUCCCUCCAGUGAGAUGUGAAGACGAAAAGCUUGGGGAGAAUGGUAAAGAUGUUAAGAACAUAUCUUUGGAACAUUUGAACAUUCAAGAAACAAAUGGGGAAAGAAUUGGUCCAGAAGAUGAUAUAUUACACUGUGUUAUGAAAAAUGAUGAUGUGAAUAAAACGACUGAUAGUGCCAUUAACAAUGAUAUUUUGUCUGCCAAAGAUGCUACAGCGGUUGCAAAUCAAGUGCAUGCCUCUAUCAAUGUGGUAAGUGAUAUAAACAUUUCUGAAGUGGCAGAACAAAAUGGCAGCUUGAGUGUAGCACUUACUGCCCAGGGUACUGAGUCACAAGUGCCUGAAAUUGUUAAUGAUUCUGUGGCUUCCGCUGAAGUGGUUAGUGAUCCACAGGAUGAUAUUGUGGAAAAUGUUGUUUCAACCUCUCAUAAUAUGAGUUCUCUUGAAGAAGGUGGUUCCAAUGAAAGCAAAGAAAGGUUUAGGCAGAGGCUUUGGUGCUUUCUGUUUGAGAAUCUUAAUAGGUCUGUAGAUGAACUUUAUCUUCUUUGUGAGCUAGAAUGUGAUUUGGAGCAGAUGAAGGAGGCAAUUCUUGUUCUUGAGGAGUCUGCGUCUGAUUUUAGAGAGCUAAUCACUAGAGUUGAGGAAUUUGAAAAGGUUAAAAAAUCUUCUCAAACAAUUGAUGGAGUUCCUGUUAUCUUGAAGAGUGAUCACCGCCGGCCACAUGCUCUCUCAUGGGAGGUAUACUUGAUUACAUAUUGUUGCUAUUAAUCUGCUUUCUUCCAUGGUUAGGUUGAUAUUUUGUGGUUCCAAGAUACUACAUUGUGAAUUUUAUAUGUUGUGCCUGACAACUGUGGAUCAUCUGGCAAAGAAAAUAAAUUUUAUUCACUAAUAAUGAAUUUACCUUUUGGUAAGUAAUGUCUAUAUUUUGCCUGUGUCUUGUUAAGCAAAUGUAUAUGAUAACUUGAUAGGUCAUUCAAUCCUUAGAAUGGAUGAACUCCAAAGAUAAUUACACCUGUUAUCAUUGAAUGUGAGGGACAAUGUGAGUGUAGUUUGCGUGUGCAUUUAUGCAGAGUGGGGAAUCAUUAUUCAUUAAAUGAAAUUUUAUAUACACCGUUUCUUUUCAUUUCCUUCUUAUUUUUCUUCAAUUGAAUGUGAUUAUAUCAUAAUUUGAUACAGUAGUCUUAAUAUGUAUCUGUUACUCUCCAUAAAUAUGCAUCAGUUUGGGUGAUUGUACGUAUAUCUGGAGUUUCUGCUUUGUCUGAUGAAUAUAGAGAUGUUAGGAUCAAAUGAACUAAGUGUAAACUUACUCAUCUAACACUGCUACAAGAUCUCACACUGUUGGAUAUUAUUUGUUUAUUUUACUUUUAUAACUUAUGCAUGAUGGAUUUCAUGUCAUCCCAACUGGAUUCAUAUAACAAUCUGGCAUUAUUAAACAUUGUUGUCGUUUAGACUAAUACUCAUUGGUUUAUCAUUGUGUCUUGGACUUAGAGAAAGAUAUAAAUGAACAUAACAUUUAAGCAUGCAAUCGCUUAUGGUCUAUAUCUGUUUGCUUGCUUGAUUUCUGAUUUCGAAGAUGGUGGUGCAUAGACUUCACAAAUUAGACUAUGAGUGUUACUUGUUAGAGAUCUGUGUGAUCUGGCUUUCUUUUGCUUAAUAUGUUUAGAUGCUCUUUAUUGAUUCUAGGUCCGAAGGAUGACAACUUCACCGCAUAGGGCAGAUAUACUAUCUUCAUCUCUUGAGGCUUUUAGAAAGAUUCAAGAACAGCGUGCUAGCUUGCAAUCCGGUACCACAGAAAAUGCCAUGUCUAAAUGUUUGACUUCUGAAUCUAUUGGCAAUAUGAACAAGUCAAGGGUCAAUGAUGGAACAGAUGAUGCCAAAUAUUCAGUGACAAAGUCAAGAAAGCAUGUUGGAUCUUCAGAUGCGAAGCAAGGGAACCCGAAUGAAAAAAAUCAUAGUAUUGAUGGAGGGAAACCCUUUGACUCGGUCACAGUGCAAAAUGGAUGUAACCCACCAGAAAGCAUAUUAACUGCAGAAGGUAAGUUAUCUAAAUUAUCUCUGUUGGAGAAUUCUUCUGCUUCUGCCACCACCAAGGGCAAAAGAGAUCAACUUGGAUUUGGAUCUGACAAGACACUUUAUAAGAAAGAUAAAGCACCAACAGAAGUUGUUAAUGAGAAAAAUGCCAGAUGCACAGAUAAUCUUAGGAGGCAAAUGCCAGUGCCUGAAAAAGAUAAGGAGAAAAGGAGUUCUGCCCCAGGAAAGUCUUUGAAUGCUUGGAAGGAGAAAAGGAACUGGGAGGACAUACUUUCAUCUCCAUUUCGUGUCUCUUCCCGUGUGCCAUAUUCACCAAGCCUGAGCCGAAAAAGUGCCGAGCGUGUACGUACUCUGCACGAUAAACUAAUGUCGCCUGACAAAAAGAAGAAAACAACUUCAGACUUAAAAAGGGAAGCAGAAGAAAAGCAUGCUCGUGCUAUGAGAAUCAGAAGUGAGUUAGAGAAUGAGAGAGUCCAAAAGCUUCAACGUACAUCACAAAAGUUAAAUCGUGUCAACGAAUGGCAUGCUGUCCGUCAUAUGAAGUUACGAGAGGGCAUGUAUGCCCGCCAUCAACGGAGUGAAUCUCGUCAUGAAGCUUUUCUAGCUCAAGUGGUGAAGAGAGCUGGUGAUGAAAGUAGCAAGGUAAAUGAGGUUCGGUUUAUUACUUCCUUAAAUGAAGAAAAUAAAAAAUUGAUGUUGCGUCAGAAACUUCACGAAUCAGAGUUGAGGAGAGCCGAAAAGCUUCAAGUGCUAAAAUCUAAGCAAAAGGAGGAUUUGGCAAGAGAAGAAGCUGUUCUAGAGCGUCGAAAACUCAUUGAGGCUGAAAAGUUACAGCGUCUUGCUGAGAUUCAGCGGAGAAAGGAGGAGGCUCAAGUCAGACGGGAAGAGGAAAGAAAAGCGUCAAGUGCAGCACGGGAAGCAAGAGCUAUUGAACAGCUUCGAAGAAAGGAAGAAAGAGCCAAAGCACAACAAGAGGAAGCUGAACUUUUGGCCCAGAAAUUGGCAGAGAGACUUAAUGAAAGUGAACAACGCCGUAAGAUUUACCUGGAACAAAUUCGGGAGAGAGCAAAUUUGAGGGAUCAAUCAUCCCCUUUGCUUCGUCGAUCAAUAAAUAAAGAGGGGCAAGGUAGAUCCACACCUACAAACAGCAGUGAUGAUUCUCAAACAAACAUUGUUUCUGGCAUUGGUUCUAGUCUUAGAAUUGGCAAUGUCACAUUGCAACACUCAAUAAAGAGAAGAAUUAAGAGAAUUCGACAAAGGCUUAUGGCUUUAAAGUAUGAGUUUCUUGAGCCCCUUCUUGGUGGUGAAAGUGCUAGCCUGGGAUAUAGAGUAGCAGUGGGUGCUGCUAGGGCAAAAGUUGGCCGGUGGCUUCAAGAACUUCAAAGACUUAGGCAAGCAAGAAAAGAAGGGGCCACAAGUAUCGGGCUAAUAAUUUCCGAAAUGAUCAAGGUAUUUUUUUUGUUCACUGGAAAUCAUAUCUUUCUCCUAUGGAUACAAGUUUUUAACAUUUUCAAAGUUUAGAAUGUUGCUCUGUGGAAUAAAAUUUUGUAUUCCUUGAUUUUUUUGUCCCUGCACUUUUGAAUUCUGAAUCUAAGUGCUAAUUAAAAUAGCACUUCUUGGAGUUGGAGAGCUCUUAUUUAAUUUGUGAAUAAAUAUUUGUCUGGAAAAACUAGUGAUUCUUUCAGUUGUAUUCGUAUGAGACUUCGAGUUAUUGUUGAGGUUUACUUUGUCCUUUUCUGGAAUCUGGAUGAUGCUUGCAUAUGGUCUUUGUUUUUGUUUGAUAAGAAAUUAUAAAUCACUAACUUUUAUGGACAAUCAUCCAACCAAUUUUUUUUCCUGACUAGAUGUUGAACUAAGUUCCUUUUUGUAAGGAUUAUUUAAAGUGUAAAUGUGUGCAUUGCCCCUUCAUAUUGUGGAAUUUAUGGAUAGUAAUCUUAUGAUUUUUCCAUUGCUUGUUAAUUUUUUUAAUGUGCCUGUUUUCAUUUAUUUAUUAAUUAUUGUUUUCUAGUAUUUGGAGGGAAAGGAUCCCGAGUUACAAGCAUCUCGUCAAGCUGGACUACUUGAUUUUAUUGCUUCUGCCUUGCCUGCAUCUCACACAUCAAAACCUGAAGCAUGCCAGGUUAUGUUGCACUUGUUAAAACUUCUGAGAGUUGUGCUAUCUACACCUGCAAAUAGGAGUUAUUUCCUUGCACAGAAUCUUUUGCCUCCGAUCAUCCCAAUGCUUUCAGCAGCUCUUGAGAAUUAUAUAAAAAUUGCAGCAUCUUUAAGUAUUCCUGGCAAUGUCAGUUUGCCAUCAAGUAAAGCAUUAGUUGAGAACUUCGAAUCAAUUUCUGAAAUAUUAAAUAAUUUUCUGUGGACUGUUACUGCUAUUUUUGGUCAUAUAAGCUCGGAAGAAAGACAACUUCAGAUGCGAGAUGGCUUGCUAGAGUUACUGAUUUCCUAUCAAGUGAUUCACCGGUUAAGAGACCUUUUUGCACUUCAUGAUAGGCCACAGAUGGAAGGGUCUGCAUUUCCUACCCCUAUUCUCUUAAGCAUACAACUUUUGGUGGUUUUGACCUCCAGAUCUGGAAGAUUGAGUUAUAUUGACUGGGAAUCUUCCCUUGUGGCGAUGGAGCAGGAAAUUGGUAGUGAAGGGGCUAAGUUUGCAGAUGCUGCACAUUUUGUAGUGAAUAACUCCUGGGAAAAUUUCAAUCCCUUAUCAGUGACCACUGGAAGCUCAGUUGUGCAUUUACCUGAUGUCCCUGAGGACAGACCAUUGGAAGAAAUGAUUAAGGUGAACAAGAGUGAUGAAUCUAUUUCUAUUGGGAAGGACUGUGAAUUGGAGCAUGAUAGUUCUGUUAAAUUGAAAAAUGAUGAUAUGGAGAAGAUAGAUGAUCUAGAUGAAUCCAAGAAAAAUCAGAAUGGGGAUAUUACUAAUUUGUCUGUUCUCCAAAAGGAUGAGAAACAUACAGUGGUAAGCGUUACAGUACAGAAAAAUGAAAGAAUAUCAAAUUUGGCUCAGCCGGCAGUAUUUCUUCUUUCAGCUAUUUCUGAAACGGGACUUGUCAGUCUCCCUUCUCUUUUGACUGCUGUUCUUCUGCAGGCAAACAAUAGAUCAUCCUCUGAACAGGUAACUUUUCUGCAACCUGCAAAUUCAUUCACACACGUAUUAAUUUUUUUAAAGAUCUUUAAUGUGAAAACUCUAUAGAUUUCUGAUAUUGCCAUUAUUAUUAAACAAGUUUUCUAUGGAUUUUUCGGGGGAAUUAAGAUAGUUGUCAUUUAUCCACCAAACCAUAUCAGUUAUUAUUAAAUAAAUGUUUUCUGUUAUUUUUGGGAAAAUUUGGUCAUUUACUAUUUGUUACAUGUCUAAUUAUUUCCUUCAUUUGCUUGUCUGUCCUGGUGAUAAGUAAAUAAGUAAUUAUUAAUAUUUUUCUUCUGUUAUAUCUAAGUUGAAUAACUUCAUUUUCUUCUAGGCCUCAUAUAUCCUUCCAUCUAAUUUUGAAGAGGUGGCAGCUGGAGUACUGAAGGUGCUGAACAAUGUGGCUCUUUUGGAUCUUGUAUUUUUGCAGCAAAUGCUGGUUAGUUUGAUGAUUCCCCUUGUAAUAAUGAUCUAUUAAAGCAGCUGUAUGUUAAAUUAAGAAUGCUUAUAGGUUUGAUUUGGUAUGAUUAAUGAUUAUCUUUACUUACUAUCUCUUUUUCCUGGUACUGAUUCUUGCUGAUAUGUUCUAAUUUUCCUUAUGCUGUUUUAUUUCCAGGCUAGGCCAGAUCUGAAAAUGGAAAUUUUCCAUUUGAUGAGCUUCCUUCUUUCUCAUUGUGCCUGCAAGUGGAAAGCUCCUAAUGAUCAGGUGAAUCUCCAACAACUUGAAAAAUCUUAAAAAUGCUUGAUUGAUAAAAUACUUAUCUUUUCCUUGCUAAACCCGGCUUGCCUAACUCUUUAAGACAUUCUAAAAGGAAAUAUCUUUGACCUCACAUUAGUAUUGGUGGAAAGUGACAACAGGGCAAUUAUAGCUCAUUUCAUUUGUGUUCAAGGUGUUCAUGAGUGGAAGCUCCCCUAACAAAAAUGAGUAAACCAUACUAAGCUACAGAGAUUCGAUAAAACUACACUAAGGAGGCAAAACUCAAGUUAAGAGUAAAACUGAUUUUGAACUGAUGUUUGGAUGUUCUUAUUAUAAAAUUCAAGUUAAGAAUAAAACUUAGUAUAGAAUUUUUUAUCUAAUGCAAAAGCUACUCAAAGUUGCUUCAACUUAGAAUCAAUUUUGAACUCUAUUUCAACGUGAAACCGAACAUGUAAAAAUUUAUGUAAAAUCAAUUUUGGAUUCAAAAUUAAUUCUUCAACAUGAAACCAAACAUGUAAUGUCCAAUACAGCAGUGAAGCAUUUAUAAUGGGUAUCAACACCUUGCUGUAGUCUUCACUCUUCAUGCAUUCUUGGUAUUUGGAUGUGCUUUUAGUAGUUUAAUCAAUGCGUCCAGGGAUACAAUGCCACAAUCUGCAUGUUUUUUUUUUCCUUCAGGUUGGUUCACUUGUGCUUGAAUCUCUAUCUCUUCUUGGUCACUUUGCAUUGUUUCAUCCUGGAAAUCAAGCUGUCCUUCGAUGGGGAAAGAGUCCCACGAUCCUCCAUAAGGUCUUAAACUCUAAAAUUUAAGCAAUUUUGGUCUAUUUGUUCUAUUUAUAUAGAUAAUCUAAUAUUCAUCUCUAAGAGGACAGGUUUGCGAUCUGCCAUUCGUUUUCUUCAGUGACCCAGAGUUGAUGCCAAUCUUGGCUGGCACGUUAGUUGCUGCAUGCUACGGGUGUGAGCAGAACAAGUUUGUAGUUCAGCAAGAACUGAGUGUUGACAUGCUACUUUCCUUACUAAGGUCUUGCAGAAAUGCUGCGCCUGCAACCCAGCUUAAUUCAACCUUAGACAAUUCCACUACAGAUGAAUCUAGUGAAUGUAAUCAAUUAGGUACUGAAGUUAAAAAGCCUCAAGUGGACAUUCCUGUAAAAAAUAGUCGUUCAAAUGGCAAAGGCCCUCGGGCUUCCUCGGGAAAGAGUGGUGCUUCGGGAAAUAACAUAAAAAAUGGCAGAAUACGAAGCCAACGGGAUGGCAAAACAACCAAGAAUUCUGAAGAAGUGGCUCCUAAGCACGGCGAGCCGUCAAAUUUAAUGUUGCACUGUAGAUUUCCUCCCAGCUUCAUUGAUAAAGUAGAGCAGUUUUUUUCAGCGGAAAUUGCUAACAGGGUUGAUGAACUCUGAGGUUAAACAUUGUGAACUCAUUUUGAUUGGUAGUUUACGGAUCUUCACGCGUUAACUGAAUAUGUUUCUUUAUACGUGUUACACACUGCUAAUACAGCCACACAAACAACCCAAAAGCUGACGUCUCUGAAGAUUAACCUGUCGAGUUUUGCCACACCAAAGCUCGUAUCUCAGUCAAUGCCAAAAGUAUUGUACUUUCUGCGAAGUAAUAUAUUUAGUUCGAGACUUCGAGUUGAGUAUUUUUGUAAUAUAAAAACGAUAUAAAAGUGGCUGUUGAUAAUAGCCAUCGUUACCACUGCUGUAAUUAUAGCCAUUGAUAUGGUUUGGGGGGUAACAAUCUCAGCAAUCAAUUUGUCUUAUUGAUUUCAAACCUACCUUCCGAAUUAUCUUUUUAUAUGGUGAAUUUUACGACGUAUUUAUGAAAAUAUUUUGGAUAGUUUUUACUAUUUGCCCAGCACAGAUGAAAAGAAAAGAGUAAAGAGGUUACGAGCUAGCUUGUUUAAUGCAACUCAAUUUAUUUACAGGAUAAUCCACGUCUCCGCCAGCCUGUAAACGUGCACUAUACCCUAUCAUUACGAGGAAAAAAGGAAUAGCUGCAGUUUACGGGCGAAGUUUCUGUUCUGAUUUCUGAUCAUCCAUAAUACCAAGAAGACUGAAAAGUGGUCUUUAUAGCUAGAAAGCAACCAUGCAGCUUAAAAUGCUAACAAGUUAGUUGACGAUAGGGGUUUUUGUGCAUGUGGGUGUAGUUUAAAGAGAGGAUACUUUGCAUCCUCUGGAGGCUGCUUGUAAAGCCUAUUUUGCUUUGCUUGUCUGCAUGCUGCUCUACGUAUAAGGCCAGCUCUCUGUUCUCUUUACACAAUCAAACAGCUUGGAAACUAGAACUUGAAGACAGAAAAGUCUACACAGAUUUCAAUUUCAAGAAAUGGAAAAUAGACUCCACCAAAGAAGGUACUUGGUUUCCUAACUGCAACUUGUGAUGCCAUUUGUUUAUUUUAUUUUUGAUUUCUUUAUGCUGUAAUUUUGUUCAGAACUGUUUCUUACAGCACCUUGGUUGUGAACUGUGUCACUUAGGAAGCAUCAUUUUUGGUUUCUUGCCAAUUAUAUCACUGACUAAUGACUGAAAAUUGCUGGUCUCUAUUUUAGAGUGUCAUUUUCUGAUCCACAUUCAUCAAAACAUCAUGGGUCCAGUGGUAGUAGAAAUGACAAGGCUUGGAACUGGCUUCCAAGGAUAACUUCUCAUGAUGACUAUGUAAGAGACGAUGAGUACAUAGCUUCAGUUGCAGCUACAGCAUUUGCCAUUCAUUCUCUAGAAGAAGCGGAGUUACGUAACUUACAAAAAAUGAGAGAGCGCUCCAAAUCUUCAAGGCCACAAACUAUGAGAAGAGAAGAGAAUGACAUACCAAAGCGGACAAGUUAUGGUAAUUAUAACAUUUCCAAAUAACAUUUAUAUACCUAACAAUUUAUGUCUGUGGACUAUGGUCAAGUUUCACUACUAGCUGUUAUGAAGAAUUGCUAUAUUAUGUGUACCAGGGGAAACUUCCAUUAAAAGAUCAUUUGGACAAGACCCUAGGACCAAGGAAACUGCUUUUCCUGUUAGACGUCCAAGUGGUAUAUCACCUCCAACUUCAAUGCCUGUAUCCUCAGCACUAGGGUAUCAGAGGCAGCAGCAAGGGAUUCCAUUACAACACAAAAAGGCCAAAACCAGACCAAAAACUUGGGAAAAGGCCAUGAUAAAAAUGAUUCAAAAGCUGUAAUGCUAAUUGCUUGAGCAGAUUAUUCAACAUAUUUUUUGUUCCUGUAAAACUGUUGCCUGUUAUAUAAAGUGGUUGUUAAAUGGGAAUCUGGAUUUAGUUUGCUCUCAUCAUUGUUGGCAAAACUUUUCAGGUAUGAGAAGAUGAAGUCCAAAAUUCUUUCCUGUGAGUUUGUGAAGAUGAUUCAGGUCAAAGUCCAGGUGGGAGGGGAAGAAGAUUUUCCUAAACUUUUGGAGUUUUAUUAUAUUUUAAAUUUGUGAAACAUAAUCUCAUUGGUACCAUCUACAGAGAGCAAUGGAAAUGCAAAAUUACCAGAAUAAGACAGCAAGGGAAGAUAUGAGAGCGCAGGGAGCUAGAGCAGGGUUAGAAAACAGAAGAAGAAAAGAGUCCGAGGUGAGAAAGAAAUCAAACAUAAAUAGAAAAACAAGCAAGGACCUUGGGAAAUGUUUGUGCUUCAAUUCUUAACAGGACGGUGUUGGACUCGAGAGUCUGAGAUGGAAAUAAAACAGCUACCAGCUAGGAAAUGUAAUUCUGUUCAAACUAUUUCUUCUACUGGCAGCUCAAACUGUUUUUAUUGACAAAUGCUUGCAUAAUAAACGAAACAUGCACUAACUGAUCAAUUAGUUUCAAGACCAUUCAAGUCAUCAUGUGCACAGUGAUAUGCUAUUUAUUUAUUCGUUUUUGCCACUACUACAUUAUAUUACCACAUUCGUAUUAUAUCAUCGAUUCAUCGUGCCUAAGGUUUCUUUCUACCUGCAAGAAUUGUUUACUUAAAAAAACAACCAAACUGGCAGGUCAUUAAGAGGGCGUUUACGAGAGAUCGCACGUAUCCACAGAUAUUGAAAAGCAUGCAUUUUCCUUAUAAACAUUUUAUAAUUAGAAUCACGAAAUUUAUUUUGUUAUUCUAUAUUCUCGUUCCCAAGUGGUGGUAUCAUUGCUUGCAUAUUAGCAAAUUUUGCUAGUUACAAUACCAUCACAUGGGGACAUUUGACACACGACACGAGGAGAAAGAACUAGAAAGAGGAGCUUCUCAAUGAUGUGACUUGCAAAGUUCCCAUAACAUACCGAUUCAGAAAUUGAAACAAAAUCACAAAAAUCCCAAAUCCCUUGAAAUAUGUAAACAAGCUUUCCUUUUAUCGAAAAUUACGUCGCAUUAUCAUUAUGGGUAUAAGAGAAAGAGAGUUGAUGAUGAUGAAGAAUAAUGAGUAUGUUUACUUUAAAGUAACUGCAUUUGUACAUCAGUUUUUGGACAAAUUUUUAUACAAAUAAGAAGAAAAGAGAGAAAAAUGAGUUAUAAGGAAGUGUCGUAAAAAUGUUUUAUGAAUAAUACAACUUUUUACCUUGAUAUCAAAGUAGAAUCUAAAACAAUAUGAACAAAAAUCUUGCUUGCCCUUUGAAAACUCUACUCUUGCUUUCUUCUUACAUUUGGAUUCCUUUUAAGUUGCAUUGAAAAUCUGUUCUUUUUCUUUUCUUCUUUUGAUCUUUUUGAAUGCGUAGGUCAUAGUAGUAAUAAGUAAGGACAAGACUUAGGUGCUCUUUGAUGUGUUUUUUGUGUUAUAGUCUAAUGAAAACAUGGAAGUGUAUUAAGUUACCAAUGAAGAUAUAACGUGCCAUAACCGUUACGCUUGUUUUUAUGAAAAACCAAGACAAAAGUACCUAUAACAAUUAACAACUAACAAGAUAGUUUUGUCCUAAUAGUGAUACUCACUUUUUCGUUCACUCUCCUUUUCAAAUAUCCCCUCUUCUCUUCUUUUCAACUUCAGUAGAAAGUCUUCUAAGGAUGGCAAACCAAGCGAGAGAAAGAAAGAGGUCCCAGAAUCAUAAAUAAAUACACAAUGGGCACUCAACACAAGCAUAAUGGUGUUAGCAUAAGAGUUAUCACAUAUCCAGAUAAUUCAAAGCAGAAAUGCUAUAUCAUUAACAAUAGCCUCUGUCAAAAAAAAAAGCCUAACAUCUCAACACACUCCAGUGAAAUCGGUCUCAUUCCCCAAAUCUCAAUGACACCAAAGGAAAACAGUAAAAUACAGGAAAGACCAUUAACAACAUUGGCCAAAAAAAUCCAAACCACUAACAGUUGCAGUUUCACAAAGGCCAAGGCUUAAGACCAAAGUUACUUUCAUAACCACGUCUUCCUCUUUGUCCCAUGUGUAAAUUAUCACUCUAUAACACAGUUAUAUGCAUGUUGAAGUUGAAUACAGAACAAGUAUUAGGUAACUCAACAAAUUGUGCUUACUUCCGUGGCAGUGGCCUCUCUAAGAGAAUCAAGAGAUAUCACGGUUUCAAAUGCACCAACUAGAGCCUUGACCUUGCUCUUCCUUAGCUCAGUAAGCAUGCUUGCGGUCUCUUCAAUCACAUUAUUAUACAAACGAGGAUUUUGUUUCUUCCCUUCCACUUUUUGAUGUCUCAAGACAACUUUCUCAUCAGAACCUGAUUUUGAACCCUGUAUCUUGCUCCUAUCCCCACCAACCUUCCUCCCGACAAUUCUCCUUUUACUUCCUUCCACAGUUUGGAGUUUGGCCACAUCUUUCUCUGAUUUUGUAGUAGCAGCAUUUACCUCACCAUCACCACCAACUUUAUUAUCCACAAUGGUCUUUUUUCUAGCAACAUUUAUGUCUUUCCUCAUGUCAUCACCAAGAAUGCGUGUCGGCUUGAAUUUGAGUCUCCUUGGAACGUUGUUGCACUGAGGCUGAAGUUCAAUCACUUUUCCUCUCCUAAAAUUCAAUUUUCGGGCUGUAACAACAGCUUUAUUAGCUGCCCCAACUUUGGUGCUCAUUUUUGGCCUGAUUUUGUACCCCAUCUUCACAUUUUCACCUUGAUGAUGAUGUAUUCUAUUGUUGGACUUAGAUGUAGCAUUGUUUUGUUUCCGAAGGGAAGACACGGAAGAGGAAACAUAUGAUGAUACCGAUGGCGAUCGUGAAACACUACGCGUAUUUACCUUCUCUUUGUUCCCAGCCACAGAUCCAAGACCCUUCCUUGAAGAUGCAGACACUGCAGACUUGCCAGUUUUUUCAUUGGUAUGCUUCAAGCUUUUUUCCUCUGAUGAUGAAGGCGAGGGUGAAGACAACCUAGUUGCAUCACAAGCCACAGUAGGGUCCUCAGAUGAAUUUGCUGAGGCAGGUUCAGUGACAUGCAAGAUAUUGUCUGGUAAAUUGUCACUGCUGGCUAGUUCAGGUGUGACUUCUUCAACAUUGUCUUGAGGUUUCAGAGAGGACUCUCUUGCCAUGUUCAUGAAACUCUUGGAGCUUAGGCUUUGAGAUUUCUUGACAUUGUGUUUUGGAGACAAGGGAAGACUUGGUGGAGUUGGUUUUUCCUUGACUCCAGUUAAAGAUGUCUUUUUCUGUUUGCUUCUGCUUUCAGUUUUCUUUCUGCUGCUUGAAUCAGAAGGGCUCUUAUUUUUUACUAUUUCCCUUUUUGUUUGACUCUCGGCAGAUUCCUUCACUGGGAGAGAUGGCUCAGACUGUUCUUGCUUUAGGUCACUGUUGUUAUGUUCCGAGGAAACAUGUGUUUCUUCAUAAGGUGGUGAGUUUUUCCCUGACGUGACUGUUUUUUCAUAUGUUACUUCCUUGGUGUCAACAGGAAUAUUGGCCUUUUCAAUUUUUGAAGUUUGAGAAGGCUUUGAACUGCUUCCUGAUUUCUUUGUACCUUCCAAAGAAGUCAUCUCUUGUGGAACUUUGGUUUUUCUUUCCUUUUUGGUAACCCUUUUCUGUGUUGGACUCCAUGGUUUGGCUUCAUGUGGGAUGCCAUAUUUGCAAAGAUCAUGGCAGGAACUUUUUCGAGGACUAAGAUAACGCGAAAGACUCUUUGGUGGAACUUUUGUGAUGGUUAAUCUCUCAUUAGGAUUUGCUUUUUCAUCAACAUCUUCAGGCUCAAUUUUCUCAGACUUUAACUGGUUAACAUCACUUUCCUCUGCCAUCACUUUGAUGAAGGAUGUAGCAACAAUUCAGAGACCCCUGCAACAGACAAGAGUCCUUUUAGAGAUGUAGAGGGAAAGGGAGUAAAUGCUGGCCAAAGCAACAUGAAAUGUGUACAACUUUUUCCUCCAAUCUAGGUUAUCUUGACACACACCAAGUGUUCAGGGACAUGAAAACAUUUCAAAGAGGAGAAUUAAAAACUUGAAUGUGCAAAUACCAUGCCUAGCCUCCAACAAGAAUUAGAUCCACAGGAUAUAAAGCCUUGAAUGAAGGGUUGCUAAUCAUGUAGAAUGAAUGGAAAUAAUUAAAAUCUUUGCAAUAUGGUGCAUUACUUCACACAAUAAAAGAGGUAUUACUGUAUUAGUAGCUACCCAACAAUUUAGAUUUAAUAUAGAAAAAUAGGGACAAAUAAACUCUCAAUGUUACUAAGAUAAUGGUAUUGGCUCAUUUUGUAAAGUGCUCUAGAUUGAGUGAAUUUAUGAAACAAAACAAUGAAGUGACACACCUUGAAGGAUUUGUCCAACACUACCAUGAGAUAGACAAUAACCUCAAUACAUGGUUUUACAACAAUUACUGAUUGUGAGUUGUGACCAUCAUUCAAUUCCAUGACUAGGAGAUUGCAGACAAUAUUAUAUCUAUCUUUCAGUUCAAUGAUAAAUUUUACACCAUAAAAGUGUGUGAAAUGAAUUUCACCUUUGAUACACAACUAAUUAUAGAUUACUUCAAUGGUGAAAAAAGAGUUUGAAGGAAUGUCCAAGGCAGGAUACAGAGUCAAUCACAUGAAUGCAACACCACCAAGGCACCAACAACUUUGAUUUUAAAAGGAAGAAAAAUCUAGAGAUGCUACAAAAGCAGGACCAUACAUCACAAAUUGAUUCAGAUUUCAGACCAACAGUAAAACAGCAUAACAGAACCGUGUGGAUAGAGAAGACGAGAAGGAAAAAAUAGAAGUUAAAUUAGAAACCGAACAAAAUUAUCUCACAGAGACCCAUUAAACCCAAUAAAUUAACUCUUAACCACCAUGGUUACGAUCUGAUCACAGGAGUGAAUAAUAUAAUAAUCCCUUGAAACGUUGGAUCCUAUGACAUAUUCAAGAUUAUCAUCAUCAUCACACUACGUAUCCUUAACGAGAUUUCCUUUGUCAUUGAUCAUCAUGGCAUUCAUUUAACGAGGAGAGAAAAAAGAAAAUAAACAAAACAGACACCCUGACACGACCAUAGAUAAAUUAUGAGCAGAAAACAAGUGGCAAAGCAGGCAAAAGAGAAUGCAUGGUUGUUGCAUUUGCAUACCUUGUUUUAAUAAUCUCUGUGAUUAUUCUUAAAAGGAGAGCAUGCAAGAAAGAACCUAGCAAAGGAAUAGUUUGCGAAAUUCUGAGUCAGAAAUGGUUGGAUGCAAACUGAAAAGGGGUUGAGGUGUUGUUUUUGUUGUAUGAGGUGGCGUUUCCUGCGAACAAAAGCGCGUUUGUUGCGAGAAAGUAACCUUCGAGAGAGAAAAAGAGAGUCCCACCAUAAGGAAUAACGCUCUGUACGCAAACCACCCUAACCAUGCAAUAUCAUUGCAUCGUCACAUUGGACCAGCCAUGGAAGAAGGCACGUCAACAUCCAUCAUCUUUACAUAUCCUUACGUACCCUUUCGUUUGCAUUCAAAACUUUAUAUUAAACGCCUCCAAGUAUAUAUAUAUAUAUAUUACUCCAUCUAUACAUCGUUCAUUUAUUUAUUUAUAAUGCCAUUAAAGUCAUCUUUUGAUAACUAUUUAUGUCCAUAGUUUCGCUCAAAUGUUAAGAUUCAUAAACCAGACGUUACAACAUUUUUUUUAUUUCUUAUGUUUCUAUAUCAUUUUUUUCGCGUACGUGCAUGUUCUACACGUGCCACUCAUGCAUUGCAUAUAUACACUUUUCUGGUGUUCUUGUAAUGAUAUAUGUAUGCACGCAUAAAGUACGUUACUUUAUUCACAGUAGUGUUUUGAUUCAUGACAAAUGCUAUCUUUAAAACUCAAACCUCACCUAAUGAUCAACUGAUCUACACAACCGAUUUUGUAAUUACAUCAUAAAUCAUAAUCAUGAGGAAUAUUUUUACUAUUUGAUUAGAUUUUACUUGUAUUAAAUCUUGCAUUAUAAUUACAAGCCAGCAUAUUAAAUUGUGAACACGACAUGACAAUACUCUUAUUUUUUUAAUAUGGUAUUGAUAUGAAAUUGUCCUAUCAUAAAUGAUAAUAAAUUUUCAUUCGUAAAGACACACAAAUAUGCAUUUUCUUUCCAAUAAAAUUUAUUUCUUACCAAGAACUCAUUAAUAUUGGAAUCCUCAACCACUUAUUUUUACUUUUAAUAUUCUGUUUAGCUAUUUCCCGUCAUCUAUAGCAGCGUGUUAUCAGUUAUUAGCUAUAUAUAUAGUCCACAUAGAGUGUUGCAACGGAAAAUAACAAAAACAAACGUAAGUUACAUUCCAUUUUUAGACAGUACGACGUGGAAAGAAAAAAUAAAAAGAGAAAAAGUGACAAAAAAUGAUAAAUGAUGCGAUGAAAAUGACUCUUCGUAAUAUAUUAAAAAUUAUAAGCAUCUACGUAAAUUUUAAUUUUUUUAAAUACUUAGAAUAUUAAUAGUAAAUUAGUAAAUUUAAAAUUAAAAAUAAUAAAAUUACAGUUCGUAAUAUAUUAAAAAUUUAAAAAUAAAAUUUUAUACAAUUACUUUAUGUGUAUAAAAUAAAAAAUGCAAUAUCUUCCAAUAUCGUUAUUCUUACUUAUAACAUUAAUUUAAUAGAGUAUACAAGACGAUUAAUAAUAUUGUAACAUUUCAAUAGAAAUGAUAGUCCUCCCCCAUCAAAGAUCUUAAUAUUCUGUAUCCCUUCUAAUAAAAUAUUCACCCAUUAUAUGUUCAGGCACUAGUGACUAGUCAUAAUGUGAUUCUGCACCAAUAUAUGAACCACUAAUUUCUUCUUAAUCUAGUACUCGAAGUCGAAGGUAGUAAAAAUAUGAUAAUCAAUGCAGGGUGUAAGACCUUUUUAUUAUUUUACUUUUUUUUACUUUUUUUUACAUUAUGUAAUAAUUACUUUAAAAAUUCUAUAUAUUUAAAGUAAUUUUUAAUCAAUUAAUAAUAUAAAAAUGUUUAUAUCAACAAUAUAUUAAAGUUAAAUCCUUUAUUUAUUUCAAUUUUCAUUUUUUUCUUCUAACAUUGGAUGAAUUUUAUCAAAAUUUUAUCAUAAACUUUUGUUACACAAUAAGAAAGUAUAUAAACUAGUUAAAUCAAACUGAAUAAUUAGAAUACAUUAAUUUAAAAUUGAAGUUUAAUUAGUUUAAUAAAUAUGUAAUUAAUUUUUAUAUUUUAAUUUAUUUUUAGCAAAUAUCCAGUUAAGAUAUUUUUAAACUUACUAAUUCGAUAUUUAAAAAUCAUAAUUACAAUAAAAAUUAAAAAAAAAAAUCAGUAAAUAUUUAAAAUUACAAAGAAUGAAGUGAUAAAUAUUUAAAAUCAUAACUUACUGUUUUCGAGACAAACCAGUCGAAGAAUGUGUGUGUGAUUGGAUCUGGACCAUCGGGGCUAGUGGCAGCAAGGGAGCUGAAAAGAGAAGGUCAUAAGGUGGUUGUGUUGGAGCAGAACCAUGAUAUUGGAGGUCAAUGGCUAUAUGACCCAAAUGUACAAGAGGAGGACCCUUUGGGAAGAGACCCUUGGCUAAAUUAAGGUGCAUAGCAGCAUCUAUAUAUGAAUGGUUUAUGUUGAGAGAGAUGAUCAAGUUCAACACAAAGGUGCUUUAUGUGGGACCAUUAAAUUAUGGUGUCCCUAGUGAGGAUUUGAAAUGGGUUGUUCGAAGCAAAGAGAAGAAAAGAGAGGAAGUUGAACAAGUGUUUGACGCUGUGGUUGUGGCAACCGGCCAUCACUCUAAGCCUAGAUUUCCCUGCAUGCAAGGUAGGUGAACUUUCACUUGCAUUUUCUCAACAAAACAAAAGAAAAAAGAAAUCCACUGAUCCAUAUAUUUCAUGAAAAUGAAAAGGAUAUGAAUAUAUCAUAUACAUAUACAUUUCAUUUUCAAGCUCAUGUAUAAUAAACUAAUUUUAUUCCCGUGGUUGAUGCUCAGGAAUACUUGAUAGAACAUUAUGGCGGAAGUUGAUCCAUGUAGUCGACCCCACCUAGUGGGAUAAGGCGUUGUUGUUGUUGUUGUUGGUUGAUGCUCAGGAAUGGACACAUGGAGAAGAAAACAAAUGCACAGUCACAUUUACAGGUCUCCAGAGCCAUUCCGCGGGGAGGUAAGUGAUGGCUAUACAUGUUCUGUUGAAUAUUUAGAACGCGAGUUUAUAUAUAUGCAUCAUAAUUCAUAGCUAAACAGAGAGAAAUGAUAUUGUUUAGCUUUCGUAUUUUGAUAUGUUGUCCCUUUUUAACAUUAAAUAAACACUCCUCCAACGUACUUAGUAUGAGAAGUUUUCUACAGAUAGUGGUGGUGGUUGGAAAUUCUUAUAGUGGACAAGAAAUAUCGAUGGAGCUUGUGAAAGCAGCGAAGGAGGUACACCAUUACUUAGGGUUUAUCUAAAGUCAUAUCCAAACACGAGAACUUUCACCUUCAUCCGCAGGUAUCACUUCCAAUUCGAUCUUUUAAGUUCUAAUCCCAAAAAAAAAAAAGAUUCACUGCUAUUUUUGCUAGCUUCACAAAAUUUGGUACACUGUGAAUAUAGACACCCUUGAAGAGGAUGGGAGUGCCAUUUUCAUGGAUGGUUCCAUCAUUAUUGCAGACACUAUUUUGUACUGUACUGGGUAAUAUCCCGUAUCACCACAAAAUCAAGUUGGCAAAAGAUUAAUUAAACAUUUAUGGCAUCACAAAUUCACAAUUAAUUCAUGCCUCAUACAUAUAAUAAGAAAGUCAAAUAUUCUAAAUUUCACUGUUUUAAAUCAACAUAAAAUCAGUUGGGGUUGAAUAAUUAUGACCUUAGGAUUCGAGAUUUUAAUGAGGACCAUAUGUAUAUAUAUGCCCAAUUAUGCCAAUCCCUUUAAAGUUAACUAGUUGUGAAUCCUCAUAAUUGAAGGGUUUCAAUGGAUUAUGUGUAGGUACAACUAUUCCUUUCCCUUUCUUGACACCAAAGGAAUGGUUGUUGUGGAUGAUAACAGAGUGGGUCCUCUGUAUGAACAUACUUUACCCCCAUUACUUGCUCCCCCUCUUUCUUUUAUAGGCAUCCCCAAAAAGGUAAUUACCCUAAAUUAGAUCUGUAAUUUUAGGUAUGGCACUUCAUACAUUUAUAUAUUCACCAAAGCGUAGAAUAUUUUAGUUGUAAUGAAAUUUUGUAUAUUUGAUAAAUACCAAACAGUUGGUUGAAGAUUAUGCGUGAAUUGUAAAUUUUCUUAUACUAAAGGAUGUAUAUAUUAAACAAAUAUUGAUUGAUGAGUUGUGCAGAUCCUGGGACUCCCUUUCUUUGAGUCGCAAGGAAAAUGGAUAGCUCAACUGCUUUCUGGGAAAAAAGCUUUGCCAUCAUGUGAGGAAAUGAUGAAAUCCAUCGAGGAGUUUUAUCAUUCAAAAGAAGUAGUUGGCAUUCCUAAACGUUUCACCCAUGAAAUUGGAGCUAUAGGCUUUGAAGUAAGUUUACUUGGGAUUUGGUAUCUGCUAAAGCAUGCAAAGGUUAGUGGCAUAUAAUAUAACAAUUUAAUUUGUUUUGCAGUAUUGUGACAAAAGCGCAAAAUAUGUAGGACUCCCAAAGUUACAAGAAUGGAGGAAAGAGUUAUGCAUAUUAUCCUUAGUGAACUCUUGUGUCAACUUGGAGACAUAUCGUGAUUCGUGGAAUGAUGAUGAGAAGCUCCAGGAGGCCCUUCAAAGUCCUUACUUCACUCAACUUGGAGUUGAACUUGAGGAUCCUUCUUUGCAAAACUCAAAUUAAUUAGUAAUCACUUGUAUUUCUAUGCUAAAACUUUUAUCUUUGUGACUCAAUAUUCUCAAUCUUGGCGCGAUAUUUGAUUCGUCCAAACUUCUGAACUCGAUAAAACAGUUUGGUUGAAAUGAAAUGCAACAAAGUUGAUAAAAAAGAAGUGUAAAUGGAAACAAUAUAUAUAAUAAUAAAAGUUCAAAAAUUAAAAAACACUAACAUUAUAUAUAUAUAUAUAUAUAUAUAUAUAUAUAUAUAUAUAUAUAUAUACGUGACACUUAAUUUAUGUUAUCGUUACUCUGUCUAAAUUCUACAAGACUAUGAUUUAGUUUAGAUAUUUUCUUUACAAAUAUUUAAUUAUAGGAAAAAUAAUAAGGAGUAAAGUUAUCUUUUUAACACGAAAAAAAGUAAAUCAACAAGGUUUCAAAUGAAUUAGCUUUUUUGUAUAAAAAAAGUCUUAUUUUUUAGAAGAUCAAUCUCAUGUCAAGUAUUGUAUGAUUCCAUUAUAUAUACGAGAACUUUGAAUUAGUCUUAAAGUUCAUUUUCUUUGUCAUAAAUGAUCACUUUUACACGUUAAGAAAAAGUUCAAUCAUUGAAAUGGUCAAUAAAAGAAAAGUCUCUAAGUUAAACAUUUUUCAUUUUUGUUUUCUUUUUAUUCUUUUAAUUUUAAUUCCUGUAAAUUAACGUUUUUUUUUAUUUUGGUUCUUAUAAGUUUUUUUUUUCUCAUUUUAAGUCCUUAUAAAGUUAUAUUUUUCAAUUUUAGAUCCUUUAAGAUUUUAAUUUUUUUUAUUUGUAGUUUUCAUAAACUUGACUAAAAUUUAAAAAAAUAUAUAAAUUUACAAAGACUAAAAAUAAAUAAAAUAUCUUAAGAAUCAAAUUAUAAAAGCGACAACGUACAUGAAUUAAAAUUAGAAAAAUGAAUUUAUGACAAUCAAAAAUAAAAAAAAAAUACUAACUUACAGAAAUGAAAAAUAUAUUUAAACCAUAAAAAAAAUUCAAAUUAGCUUAUCUGCUUCAACUAUAUUUAGAUAAGGGUUGGGAAUGUGCUUUAGUUAAUUUUUAUAAGUGUUUUCAAAUUACAAGACACAAAAUGAUUGACACAAGUUAUUAAGGAUCUAAUAUGAACUCUCAUAUUUCCUAUGCGUGUUGGUUCAAAUCAUUCAGACAUCAUUUUUCUUAUUUAUUGGACAACCCCUUUCAUGAAGAUCUCUUGAUGCCUAGAAAUCAGUUGAAUUAGUGGAUGAAACUGUUUAAAAUUAUCCUAUAGGUAAAUUUUUAAUGGUAGUUCAAACAUAUUAUUCACACCCUACUGUAAUAUUUGGGUGCCUCCUUAUUCCAGUAUCCUUUUUAAACAUCCUAAAGACACCAAAUGAAUGGAAGAAUUUAUUUCCUUAGAAGUAAAAAUCUUUUGUGCUCCUCAAUAAUAUUUAAACAUACUUUUUUCUAACUAGUGACGUGAUAAGUCUCACUAUCUUUUAAUUUGAAUCAAACUUCAAUUCAUUUUUAACUUUUGGGGAGAUUAGAAAGUAGAUUUUUUUAAAACAAAAAAUGGUAAAAUAUAUAAGUUGAUUUUAAUUUAUAAAAUAAAAUUAAUUAAUUUACUAUAUGCUUUAUUAGAAGUAUUAGUUGGGAGAUUAUUUGAACCAUAAAUGUGACAAUUGAAAUCAAUAGAGACGUUGAGAAGAUCUUCCACUAAAAGUAUGAUCUACAGAUUCGUUUAAUUGUCAUGCACGUUUAAUUUAUAAUUAGAAUUUGCUUAAAAUAAAAUUUAUUUACCAAUUAUGUGCCCAAAAUACUAGUCCACUAGCUUUUAGCUCCCCGAAAAAUAUGAUAUGACGAAUUACUUAAAGACUUUAAAGUUUGCAACUGUCGGCCACUUAACCCAAACGCAAUUCUGGGACGAAUCUUGUGCUUAUUCAAAAGAAAAGGUUUUUUUGUUAAGAUCGAAGAAAACAAAAUUGCUAUGCAAAGGUGCAUUAUGCAUACGUGUCCGUUUAACCAGACAAUUAACCAUUGCUAAUUUUUUAAAGAGAUCUUUCAAUACUUUUCUAUUUCUAAGAAUAUUAAUAUUUUUAACAACGGAUAGCUAAUGUCCGAGGAUAAUAGCAAGAAAGGUGUAGCUAUGAUAACAACUCACCCUAAGUUAAGUUUGUAUGUGAGAAUCAAAGUUUGAUUUUAACACUUAUUUCAAUUCGUUCUCCACCAUAGACCAUAGUCCUCAACUCAAGAGUAUUUCUAAUUUUUCACUUUAGAACAUUCCAACAACCAGGGGAUUCACGAAGGUGCAUUCUUUUUAGGCCCAAGACAUCGCAUAUGGAAUGUGAGUAAUAACAGUAUAGAUUUUUAUAAAUUUUGAAGGUGAAGAGGAAGAUG
rnacentral:lncRNA from 1 species